rnacentral:lncRNA from 1 species
AUGACUCAAGUCAAGCUUGCUGCUUCGCUUAGUGCCUCGUUGGUAUGGCUAACCGGUGGCUUAGGUGUGGUCCACCUACUCAUCAAAGAAACCAUCCCGUCUUGGUUUCUAUCAACUGACAAAUCAGACCGAGAACAAAGACCAUCAGAUCUAGUUGCAGAGCUAAGAGGUCAUGCCCUUGCCUACUUUGUAGUCCUAUGUGGAGCAUUUGCUUGGGGGGUGGACUCAAGAUCAACUGCAUCAAAACGCCGCCGCCAAGCAAUCUUGGGAAGCCACUUGCAGUUCAUCGCGAGUGUCUUAGACGGGAAAAUAUCAGUGGGAUGCGAAACAGCAACUUGGCGGGCAUAUAUUUCCGGUUUGGUGAGUCUAAUGGUGAGCUGUUUGCCUCUCUGGGUGACAGAGAUCGAUACAGAAGUGUUAAAGAGUGUAAGCAGUGGACUAAGAAAAUGGGGAAAAGAAGAGCUAGCGAUUGUAUUACUCUCCUUGGGAGGUCUCAGAACAAUGGACUACGCAGCUGAUUUCAUCAUUCAUUUGCGUUCAUAGCUUCUUAAAAAGUUUUGAUCUCUCCAGUUUUUUUCAGAUAGAUGCUUGAUAGAUGUGUUUCUUGUAGUGAAUUUGCUUCCUUGUUGUGACUUGUGUUCUCUAGCUCCAGUGUUGUGUGAUAAAUCUAUCACGCUAUAUGUAUGUAUAGAGAGAACCAGAAGAAAAGAAAAAAUAAAAAAAAAAGACUAAUCUUAAAAAGAAACUAUUAGUGUACUAUUUGUAACCGUUAGAUGGAUUGGUGUACUAUUUUUAUAACCGUUAGAUGAUUCGAGAAUAUUCUCAAUUUAUUUAAUUGGUCACACAACAAAUAAAAAGCAAACGAAUGAUUGAGUUUGGUUUGGUUUGGUUUCUUUGUCUCAUCUCUCUGUUUUUCUGAAGAACUAACACAUGUCGGGACCUCAGUGCUGCGAAAACCCGCCGACUCUGAACCCGGUUUCCGGGUCGGGUCAUGUCGAGAAGCUGGGUGGGCUUGAUGCCUACGUCUCCGGCUCUCCCGAUUCCAAGCUCUGCGUCCUCCUCAUUUCUGAUGUAUUCGGUAAUAUACUCUUCUUCUUCGUUGCUCUGAUUUGACUUUCUUUGUUUUAGUUGAACACAUGAUCGGAGUAAUUAGGGUUUUUGGAUCCCUUUUGUUGAUCUCAUCAUUGUUGAUUCUGACUUUUUGGUACGUUUUUGUUCUUCAGGUUAUGAAGCUCCAAACUUGAGGUACUCCUACUAAUUCUCCCCUCUUCAUCGAUUCAACCAUUGAAGAUUGAAUCUUUUUAAUUUGGGUUUGUUGCUUUGAAGGAAUUAGAUAGUUUUUUAGUGGUCACAUAUGAGUUUUAGUCUCAAUGCUGCAAUAGUUGUUUCUGGUCUAGUUAGAUAUGUGUCUACAAAUAGUUUUGUUGGUUUUGGAUUAUGUACAAGAUACUUCUUACUUAAUAUGAGGAAGGGGUUAAAUCACUAGCAAUAGGGCGCGUUGCAUCUCCUGGAUGAAGCAUACCUAUCGUGUGUCUUUAAGUUGACUUAUUUUUUCUGAUCUCAUUUGAUAAGAUCUAGAUGUUUGAUUUGAAUCAUUGCUUUAAUUUUAUGUCUUAAGGGCGCUUGCGGAUAAGGUUGCAGCUUCUGGAUUCUAUGUUGUGGUUCCUGAUUACUUUGGUGGAGAUCCUUUUGAUCCCUCUAACCAGGACAGACCCAUCGCUGUCUGGAUCAAAGACCAUGGCUGGGUUCGUUCCUUCUCCUCUCCUCCUUAUCAUAAUUGUCCUAUGCAUUCUCAAUUUCUUUUCCAGUUUUGUUAACAAGAACACAUACACUGAGUUGAUAGAAUCCAUCUGAAUCAGUUCAUAUUCUCUUUUGUUUUUCAGGAUAAGGGCUUCGACAACACCAAACCAGUACUUGAAGCUAUAAAGAACAAAGGCAUAACUGCCAUUGGAGCUGCAGGGAUGUGUUGGGGUGGUGAGUUGUUGUUAGAAAUCUAGCCUAAGAUUUGUUAGUAAAAGAUCUGGAAAAUGUCUAAUGGAUAUUACUUUUCUCUCUUGUGUUAUUAAUCUUCAGCUAAGGUAGUGGUGGAACUGUCUAAAGAAGAACUUAUUCAAGCAGCUGUUUUGCUUCAUCCUUCUUUUGUCACAGUUGAUGAUAUCAAGGGUAAGUGACUUUGGUACUACCAUCUUGAUUGCACACAUAAAACCAAGAAACACUAGUUGUCACGCCUCACCUCUAAUGCUUUGUAACAUUUACAGUCACCUAUAAGAUUGCGUAACUGAUCUCGCCAAGAUUAGAUACCAUCAUUGUGGCUAUCAUUGUUACAGUAAAGAAUACUAAUUCACAUUUACAUACAUAAAAGCACUGUGAUUGGUCCGGUUGCUCUCAUUUCACCGGUUUUUGAUGAUCCUUAUCAAUUUCACGGGUUUUCUGCAGCUGGGAAGGCUCCAAUUGCUAUAUUAGGAGCUGAGAUUGAUCAAAUGUCCCCACCAGCACUUUUGAAGCAAUUUGAGGAGAUUCUAGCUUCCAAACCCGAGGUAAGCUGCUUCUACACCGCAACUCAAUAGGCUAAUCGCCUUUAUCUAACUUUAAACGGAUUCUGUAGGUGAAUAGUUACGUGAAGAUAUACCUGAAAGUGUCACACGGUUGGACAGUUAGAUACAGCAUCGAUGAUCCAGAGGCGGUUAAAGCUGCAGAAGAAGCUCACAAAGAGAUGCUUGAUUGGUUUGCGACAUACGUCAAAUGAUUUGAGAAAGAAAAGCUUUGUAUUAUUAUUCAUAACUUCAUAUAUGCAAAGAAUAAAAAUGAAAGAGAGACAAAGCAAAACUCUUGGUUUGUAUUUCAGUUUCUACGUUUGAAGCAUUCUGUGAGAUUCUGUGAUAAUCAUCGUUUUAUGAUUUUUAUAUGUUGGCAAAACUUUGUGCCCUUCUCAUCAUCUUUAUUUGGUUAGCAGAAAAGUUACCAAAACAUUACUUUGAUCGAAAUCAACGUCUUCUUCUAUUGAAAAAUUGAAAAAGAAAUAAUUAUUAAUUCUUGAUUCCUGCAUUGUUGUUGGUAAUUUAAAACUCAAAAAUUAUGCAUUCGUUCAAAUUAUAUAAAAAAUUGAUUCAUAUAUGAUUUAAAAUAUUGCUUAAAAAACUUUCAAAAACAGAAAGAUUCACUCACUAGGAUCUUUAAAGAAAUAAAGCACAAUUCAUAAUCAAUAUAGAUUUCUCCAUAAUUAAAUUUGUGUUACAAUCAAUAAAAAAAAUUAUGUAAAAAAAAAAAAAAACUGCCAAAUAUCUCCAAAAUCGAAUUUGUUAAAAAAUAAUAAAAUAUAAUAAACUAAUAAAUCUAUUUUUCUAAUUUCAAGGAGAAGGAAACAAACCUUCAUAAACUCCUCCUCUACCGUCUCUCUAUAAAUAAACGAGAAGUUCACAAAAUCCACUCUAAUAACUAUGAAAAAAUUAGGGUUUUAAAUUUCCUAAAUCUCUCCGUAACCAUCGAUCAAAACGAUGCUCGAGUGUGAAUCAAUGAUGGAGAAAUUAUCACCGUUCAUGGACAUCGCCUCUUUGGAAAUCGAGUCUCUACGAAGAAUCAAACGCCCGAAACGCUUCUCUGAAGAAUCAGAAACCGAGACGAUGACUUCAUCAAACGCGGUUUUCGGAUUCCCUCACUUACCAGAAGAACCAAAUCGCGAUUUGGAUCAAAGCGUUUUGUGUAGAAUCCGCGUUCGAUUACCAGAUGGGAGAAGAAUACAGAGGAGUUUCUUAAAGAGUGAAUCUGUUCAGCUUCUUUGGUCGUUUUGUUAUUCGCAGAUUGAUGAAUCUGAGAGAAAGCGUUUUAAAUUGAUUCAAGCGUUUCCUGGGGAAUAUAAGAAUCUUUAUUUUGGAUCUAAUACGACUUUUGAAGAAUCUGGGCUUGCGAAUUCUUUGGUUUCGGUUACUUGGGUCUGAAGAAGGUCUUUGUUUUUUUUUUGGAUUUGUGUAAUUAGAAAAAAAAAAAUUGUAGCGAUUUCUGCUUUUGUUUAUGUUUACUCAAUUUCUUGAAUUUGUAGUUGGAAAAUUGCAAAUUUUUAUGAGAAAGAUUGGUUUCUUGAUUAGUUUCUUGAAUCGUUGUUAGAUAUUUCCGAUCAAAUCGCUUUUAGAUAACACUGCUUUAAAGUCAAGGUUAUACAAGAGGACGUAUAGUUUUGGUUAUCUUGUUGCUUCUUAAGUCACGUUUCCACAUGAAUCUGCUACUAAAUUUUGAGGUGAUAUAGCAAAUCGAGCCCAUAAGCCCAAAUUCUAAACAAGCGUAAGACAACAUCAAGUGAGCAAGUAGUACUCCAUGUUCUUGCAUAUUUUUGACAGUGGGCAAGAAAUCCGUAGCCGAAUAAACCAAACCGUACCAAAUUGGAAUAGUUAAAAUGAAACCGAGAAACUCGCCGAUACCCAAAACCGGGUCUAUAGAAAGCCAUUCAACUAAUACUAGCUCUAGACCCGGUUUUGGGUAAAAGCAACCCAUGUAUACGGCCUUGAAUAUAGACUGAUUAGUGGAGUUGGUCAUUUGUCUUCAUUUUACCAUUUUUUUUUCUUUUUAAAUCACUAAUUACUAAACCCUCUAAAAAAUUUUGUAGCCCAUAAGUUUUCUGGACCGGCUCUAAGUAGACAGUCCAUAGAACUUUUGCUAUGGCUACAACCGAGCUGACAUGUAUAUCAUUCAAUCUACAUAACCUUGGUAUAGGUCAAGAGAAACAAUAAAUUCUUCUUUACGACAAUUUGUCAACAAUACACCUAACUACAAAUCCAAUGCUCUACCAUUAUCUAAACACAUUGAAGUAGAUUACCACUACGUCAUAUAACAAACACUUCUUAACAACAACAACAUUUUAGUCCAAGUACGUAUUUUUUUUUACUAAUAUAUAGAUGGCCUGAUAGCAAACCAAGCCCACAAGCCCAAAUUCCAAACAUGCCCAUGACAACAUUCAUGUAUGCAGAACUAAGAUAAUAAAUUUCCCUGUUAGAAAGGAAAUAUUACGAUUUGGCCCUCCUUUGAACAAAUCUUCCCUCUCCGGAUUUUUAACCCAAAAAAACUGGAGAACCAUGCAGUUGCGAUUUCCUCUUUAACCCAUUUCAAAGAUUCGUUUUUUUUUUUUUUGUAAAUUUCUUUCUCUUCUUUUGGCGAAUUCGUGUUCCUUCUUUCUCAAUGUAAGCGAAUCCAUCUUUUGAUUCAUUGUUCCAUUGUUGUAAUCGUAAUUCUUGAUUCGCCAUUGUUCGUUUUUAAGAUCAUUCAUCACAAUUUUUAAAUUCGAUUCUUCCGGUUCCAUUAUUUCGGAACCCAAUUCGGGUGACCUAGAUUUUGAUUUUGAUUCUUGCUAUGAUCAUGAUCUUGAUAUAUAAAGUCUAUUUUUUUUUUUUUGUUUCUGAUUUGGUGAAUCAGGAGUUCUAGAGACAGAGGAUCACCUUCUUCUUCUUCGUCGUCUUCUUCGUUACCAGGAAUAGAUAAGUAUAACGAAAAGGUGAAAAAUCAGAUACAAGCACUUGUUCGUGUUAUUAAAGUUGCUCGUACCUAUAGAGACGACAAUGUCCCUUCCUUUAUUGAACAGGUUACUACUUACUACUACUCAUAGUUUUCUUGUUUCUUCUCUGGAACUACCAACCAAUGAUUGAUUCGUUAUCAAAGAUCAAAGCUUUUCUUGAAUUUGACUUUCAGGGUCUUUAUCUUGGAUCUGUUGCUGCAGCUUGUAACAAGAAUGUUUUGAAAUCUUACAAUGUUACACAUAUCUUGACUGUUGCUAGUUCUUUGAGACCAGCUCAUCCUGAUGACUUUGUUUACAAGGUUGUUCGAGGUAUAAACAUAUUAAAGGUUUUACCUUUUUUAUACUUUUUUUGUGCCUUUUUGUGAUGGAAUGGCUUACCUGCUUGUUUGUUUGUGUAAUAGUUGUGGAUAAGGAAGACACAAAUUUGGAAAUGUACUUUGAUGAGUGUGUUGAUUUCAUUGAUGAAGCCAAGAGACAAGGCGGUAGUGUUCUUGUUCAUUGCUUUGUUGGCAAAUCACGGAGGUCGGUUUUUGUGUUGAUGCUGGAUAGGAUUCAAUACUAAGUACAUAUGUCAAAGUGAUUUGGUAACCCAAUUUAGCCUGUGUUUUGCCCCUUUUACUUGCAGUGUCACUAUAGUUGUUGCUUACCUCAUGAAGAAACAUGGAAUGACCUUAUCCCAAGCAUUGCAACAUGUAAAGAGCAAAAGACCUGUGGCAAGUCCUAAUGCCGGUUUCAUCAGACAAUUACAAGACCUCGAGAAGUCUAUGCAAGGUAUGUAUUGUCAACUCAUAUGCAAACUUACUAUAACAUCUUGUGGUCUUGACUAUUAGGAUCUUUCGAGCUCUGUGGUGAAUCUGAGUUAGAGAUUCUUUACUUUUGUCUGUCUGAUUCAAUAGUGAGUGACCAGAGUUUUCCCAAUUGAGGAUGAAAAGCAAGUGGUUGUGGAGGACAAGACGGUUCCAUGUAAAUUACACUUACCUGCAUCUUCUUCUUCUCUCUAAAACAGGGAAGCAAGAACCGAUUGCACAAUGCCAGGCGUGAAGAUCGAUCGUAUCUUUGGGAGAAACUUGUAAAUCUCACAAGAAGCAUCAAAUGUUUUGUUGUUUCUCCUUAACAACUCAAAUAAAAAAACAUGGAAACGAAUAAGGAAUAUAAGUUCUUAUGUUCAUGUUCUUGAUUCAUUUAUGUGUAAAAGUUUCAUGAAUGUAAAAAGUGAACAUAAAUAAAAAUCUGUUAAUUUUUUGUAAAGAAAUGUCCUUUUUGCGCCGUCAUUGCUUAAUUUGAGCCCGUAGAGACUAAACAGUUAAUGGACCUUGUGAAACAUUGGGUUUUAUAAUGAAUAAAAAAACUAAUCGGGGUGAUUUAGGAUAAAGUUAUAAAUUUAGGGGCCAUAUUAGAAUUCUCCUAAAGUUGCUUCCAAUUGUGAGGCACACUAAAACCCUAGACUCCAUAUUAUGGAAAACCUCUCUUCUUCUUCCUCUCUUCUUUCGGAGCCGUCGCUUGUAAAAAUUUCCGGCGAUUGAUCAGUCAUGAUGGAAAUACGAACUCCGAAGACUGGCAAAGCCAAACGUGUACUCGAAAACCGAGCUCCUAAGUUGGUAAAGUUCUCUUCUUUCUCUGCGUUUGAAUCCUUGUUUCGUCCCUCUGAGACCGAGAAGUGUCUUAAAUGUUGUUGGUCUGUCUAUGAGACUCAUGGGUUUUCUAUUUCUAGGUGAAUUUAUGAAAGAAUCGCUAGAAAGUUGCAGACUUUGUAUCUGAAUUGGUGGUUUUAAAAUUUCUUCUUAAUCUUGGGAUUUGUAGGUUGAAACUGGGAAGAAGACAUUGAUACUUCAUGGAACAAAGACGAGUGCUACACUUAGCUCUGUGUUGAUGGAACUGUACCGUUUGAAGAAGGGAGGUGCCAUUAGAUAUUCAAGAAGGAAUGAGAAUAUUAGGCCUUUUGAGAGUGGUGGUGAAACUUCAUUAGAGUUCUUCUCUCAGAAAACUGAUUGUAGCAUUUUUGUGGUAAGUUUUUCUUCGAUACUCGUGUUGUGGCAAACUGAGAUCUCUGUAUAGGUUUUGAUUUGUUAUGUCGAUGAUUUUGAUUAUCCUCUUAACUUAACUAGGAAUGGCUAGUUUUUCAAGUAAUCAGAUAGAUGCUUGAUUGUCUUAGAGCAAGUUGCUAAGAUGAUGUGUCCUGUGAUUAUCUUUGGCUUGAUUAGUCUUUGUGUUAUGGUGGAAAUUGGUAGAACUUAAACUUGUUCUAUUAUUUGCUAAUUUAAUCACAUGUCUAAAGAAUUCAUUUGGAAUUGGAUAUUAGCAAACUUACUUUGAUGUGAGUUCUAACGUUGGUGAAUGUUUUUAUAUUGCAGUAUGGUUCUCACACGAAGAAACGACCUGACAAUCUUGUACUUGGGAGAAUGUAUGAUCACCAGGUCUAUGAUCUUAUAGAAGUUGGGAUUGAGAACUUUAAAACCUUGCUGGCGUUUUCGUAUGACAAGAAAUUUGCACCUCAUGAAGGAUCAAAGCCUUUCAUUUGCUUUACUGGAGAAGGUUUUGAGAAUGUACCAGAGCUUAAGCAUCUAAAAGAAGUCCUCACUGAUCUGUUUCGUGGCGAGGUGAAGUGUUUGAUUCUUUUGACCUACCUUUGCAGCUAAUUCCGUAACCAACAUCAAGGAAUUGAAUUUCAGUUUUAUGGUUCUUAUCCUGAUUAUUUAUGGAUUUGGCUUAAAAUAGAAUUUUAUUUGUCUGCAGGUUGUGGAUAAUCUAAAUCUUACUGGACUAGACCGAGCUUACGUAUGUUCGGCUAUAUCCCCAACUAAGGUUUUCCUUACUCAUUGCGCAUUGAAGCUUAAAAAGUCAGGCUCCAUUGUUCCUAGAAUGGAGCUUGUUGAAGUCGGUCCAUCCAUGGACUUGGUUAUCAGGCGUAAUCGUCUUCCUAACGAAAGCUUAAUGAAAGAAGCAAUGAGAACAUCCAAGGAUAAGCCUAAGAAGAAGGUAAUAAUAAAACAUUAAAAAUUCUAAGCUUUGUCUCAUGUUUCCUUAAAAUCAAAAGAAACCGAUGAUCAAUCAAUCAAUCUCUUUUUCUACAGGUGAAAAACGUUGAUCAAGAUGCAGUACUAGGGAAGACUGGGAAGAUUUACAUGCCUGAUCAGAAGGUAAGAACGAAAGCAAACACCAAUAUUCGAUUCUGGAGAUUGUUAUUAAUACCCUAAACUAACUGAUUGCUUCGAUCUUUGUGCAGCUGGGCGAUAUGAAAUUACUCGAUAAAUCCAAGGGAUUGAAGAGAGAGCGGAAAGAGGCUAAGCUUAAGCAUAAGGAAGAGACUGUUUCCAAAAAGAUGAAAGAGUCUUCUGAGUGACUCACCAAACCACUCUUGGCUCUUCUGCAUCAACAGUUUUCAAUAUGAGGAAGAUGAAGAUUUUGUAGUGAGAAUGGGCAUGGCUUUUAUUUUUCCAUUAGAAUCUAUAACUGAAUGUUUUUUAUACGCUAAUAUUUUAUUAAGUUGAUUUUGUUUUGUUAAAUUUCUGCAGCAAGAAAAAAAUUGUGAAAGAAAAAAGAGUUACGAGAUGAGAUAAAAUCAAAAGUGAAUUUGCUCUAUAACCGAUAAAUAAAUUAAGAAUAUAGUAUAUUAAUUUGAAAAAUUAAGUAACUAACAUGAAUGAAUUGUGAAAUGACUAAAAUCGAGUUAUUGAGGGUACGUGACAAAUGAGAAAAAUAAAGAAUUAUCUUUAUUUUGUUUUCCUCUAUAUUUUUAAAUAUGAUAAUGUUUACCCCUUAAUAUUUUUUUGCAACAUAUUUUCUACAAAUAAAUGAUUUGAAAAUUCAAAUCUACUUAAAACAAAUAUAUUUAUUUUUCUGCAUCAAACACAACUUGAAUUUCUUAAAUCGGAUUUGAUUUUUUUAAAUAAUGAAUAGUGUUUAUCUUUCUACACAUAAAUGAGAUAGUAUAGAAUCCAAUGAAAUAGUAUAGAACGAAACAUUUGUAAUAAAAUGUAGGUAGUGGUGGUGGUGACGGUAAUAACUUGGUGAUGAUGAUGGUAACGGUAUGGUGGUGAUGGCAUAGUUGUGGUAGCGGUGGUGUGAUGGCAUGGUGGUGGUGAUAUAGUGGUGGUGAUGGUGACGUUGGUGGUGGUUAGGACAACGACGAUGGUGGUGGAGGUAGUAGUAGUGGUGGUGGUGACUGUCGUUGGAACUUUUCUCGUAAAGUUUAAAUUCUGGAAAGAUAUUCAAAAUUUGAUUCUCCCCAAAUAAACAGUAAUCAAAGCUAAUAUUUUACAGUUACAAAGAAAAUGGGAUAGAUAUUACGUAAAAACAAAAGAAGAGAGACACAAGGGCAAAAGGGUCCAAAGUACAAAAAUUACACACAAUAUCAUUGGCUUUUUUUGUUGGUUAUUUACUUAAUUAUAGAUUUUUUGUAUGUUAUUGGUGCAAAUUUUCCUAAAAUCAACAGCAGUUUUGUUUAGUUUUUUUUUUAUCGUGUCACACCAUCUUUUACCACAAUUUUUCACCGUGUUCUCUAACCGUUGUCGUAAAUAUACACCGUCCGCUUGUGUCACCAAUCAAAUUAGAUACAAUGUACCACAAUUUUUGUUUCUUUUCUUUAAAACGAAUUUCGCUUUUAAGUAGGUUUGUGCAUAGUUAUUUAUCAUUUCCAUACGUGAAAGUUUUAUGUAAUAGAAGGUAAAAAGAAUGGUAGAUAAUGAAUACGUCCCCUCCUCACUUUUAGAUGAAUAUUCUUAUGUUCUUGUAAAAAUUUAUUAGGCAGAAAAAUUGUUUAUUUAUUUAUAACUAUAAUAGAGUGGGAGGGUUAGUAUAAAAAUGUUAAAAUGAUGAUUAAUUGGUGUUUAUUUUUUUUACCUACCAACUUUUAUAUGAUAAUGACUGAUACAUGUAUUAAGUUUAACCUAAUUAAGCUUUUUAUUCAGUUAGCUGUCUUUAUCUUCCACACUAGGCUUAUAACUUAUCUAUAAUUGAGACCUACCCCUAUGGACUCUUCUUCAUCAUUAUUCUUUAUGGUUUUUAUUUGCUAUACGUUUGAAACCAAACCAUAGGUAAAAAGCUUAAUUAGGUGAAUAUUAUUUGCCCGGAUUAACAUUUCUCUAUAUAAUGGGUCUUGCAUCUACCGGAAAAUUUACCAUAUAAUUUCUCAAUUUUUUGCAAUUUCGCAAAUUUAUUCCUUAAUUUCCACGUUUGCAACCUCAAGUAUUAUUAACUACGCAAAAUUUAAAUGUUGCAAAAAUGAAAAAAAAAAAAAAGACCAAAUAACAUGUGACAAAAUAAAUAUCAUUAAUUAAACUGUUUAGGACAUUGUUAUUCUUCAAUACGCGUAGAAAAGACAGUCCAUUGUGAUUACAUGUUUUCGACUCAAUGCAUGUACGUACCGACGGUACCGUUGUACACGAUCGGUGAUCACUAGGAAACAAAUUGGCCCAUCUCCGUUGAAGAAAAUUAAAAUAUACACCGAUUUGUUCAAAUAAUUAAUUAUUUUUACGUGUUGACAAAAACAAUUCACGUAUGUUCUGUUUUAAAAAAUUGUGAAGUCAAUGACCAGACACACAUAUAUACACUAUAUUUUUAAAUGAAAUAUGAAACAGGGACAAGACACAACUGUUUCAUGCUGGUCUUAAUCUCCUCAAAUCCUCAGCAAUUGCUAGGCAUGGUUUUCCAGUUGCUGCUCUUCCAAUCCGUUACCUUGGCCUCCCUCUUAUGCACAGAAAACUCAAAAUCUGUGAGUAUGAACCUCUCCUGGAUCAACUUAUUGGUAAAUUUAGAGGAUGGGCAAUGAAAUCUUUGUCUUAUGCGGGUCGUACACAAUUGUUGUCUUCGGUUAUUUCGGGAACUGUUAACUUCUGGAUUUCAGCUUUCAUCUUACCAAAAACUUGUAUAAAGAAGAUCGAGUCUUUAUGCUCAAGAUUUCUCUGGUCCGGUAAAAUUGAUGGCAGUAAGGGUGCCAAAGUCGCUUGGUCCACUGUCUGUUUACCUAAGCAAGAAGGCGGUUUGGGGCUACGAAGAUUCUCUCAAUGGAAUACCACUCUCUGCUUGAGAUUUAUAUGGUUAUUAUUCUCUGAAUCUGGUUCUCUGUGGGCUAUGUGGCAUAAAUAUCACAACAUCAAGAGUAACAGCCUUUGGGAAAUCAGUGAAUCACCAAGAGAUUCUUGGACUUGGAAAGCAAUCCUGCGACUGAGACCGGUGGCAGCCCAGUUUCUGAAAGUUGUUGUUGGAAAUGGGAGCAGUGCUAGUUUAUGGUUUGACAAUUGGUCUCCUUUUGGACCUCUAAUAAAAUACAUUGGUGCAGAUGGUCCUCGACAACUUCGUAUUCCCCUCAAAGCUAAGGUAAAGGAUGCGUGUAACUCUGCGGGCUGGACUCUUCCUUCUCCAAGGUCUGAUGUGGAGUUAAAUUUGCAUGCACAUUUAACAACAAUUGAGGUUCCAAGCAGUUCUGCAAAUCAAGAUGAGUUCUGUUGGGUUGUUGACAAGGUAAAAUGUAAUGGUUUCUCUUCUUCACAGUCUUGGAAUGUUUUAAGGCCACGAAAAGAGGAAACUAAUUGGCAUGAUGUUGUGUGGUUCAAAGGAUCUAUUCCCAAACAUGCUUUCAACAUGUGGGUCUCUCACCUUAACAGAUUGCCCACAAAGAAGCGUCUGUUCUCUUGGGGUAUUAUUCCUUCUCCGAAUUGCAGUUUUUGUGCUGCAGACAUUGAAUCUAGAGACCAUCUGUUCCUAAUCUGCGCCUUCUCUCAAGCUAUUUGGCGACUGGUUUUCUUAAAACUUGACCCUAACAGGUCGUUGCUCCUUUCGUGGUCUGAACUUCUUUCUUGGGUAAGAGCCGGUUCGCAAGCUGCACCGAUUCUUCUAAGGAAAAUCAUUGUCCAAGCAACCAUUUACCACAUCUGGAAGCAACGCAAUAAUCUCGUCCACAAUCAACAAGCAAUCUCACCUCCAGCUAUCUUCUUGCUUCUUGACAAGGACAUUCGCAACAUCAUCUCUGCAAGACGCCAUAGGAAGCCUUUUUACAAUCUGAUGCAGUGUUGGUUAUCUUGAUCUCACGUCUGUGAUUUCCCCAAAUUGUCUCCUUGUUUUUAUUCUUUUUGCCAAGGUUUCAAUAUUCUCAGGCUCUACUCUUUGUAACAGUCAAACGUUUUCAUAUUUUAUGAUAUUAACAUGUUUAGCAAAAAAAAAAAAAAAAAAAUAUGAAACUUUUAAUAUCAACAAAAAAAAUCUUGAACCAUUUAACUAAAGAAAAAUGCCUAGAGUACCUGACUUCUAAUAAAUUGUUUCAGUAAUAUAUUUAAUUUUCUCCGUUUCAAUAAAAAAAUUUGAUAUUUUAACUGCUCCACAGAAAACACUAUUAUGCUAUUUAAAUAACUUUAAAAAUUAAAUGAAAUAAUACCAAAAUUUACGUUAAUAUCAUAAAAUGACACUUAGUUAGACAAAAAACACACAUAAAUUAAAACGGAAGGAAUAUUUGUUUUUCGAAAGAAAACUAUGAGCUAAACCAAAUAACUCUAGCUAAUUUUUUAUACUAAUCAUCCAAUCCAAACUAUAUUUUGAAACUGAGUCCAAACUGGCUCGAACAUACUAAAGUAUUAUAACUUUAUAAGUAAAUGACUAUAAAUGUUAUUUAAUAAUUGAAUCGCCAUAAUUAUACAAGGAUGUUAUAUGUAAAACUAUCAUAUAAAUUUGUAUAAAAAGUUGAAAACUUUUAUCUUAGUGGAACAAAUAGUAGAAUCUAAAACAUCCAUUAUAACGAUCACCACUAAUAUUAAAAAAAUACUUUUUUGUUAAUUAGAAAUUUUUAGUUUUCUUAUGUAAACAUUCAUCUUCCAAAUUGGACAAUCAAACAAAAUAGUUGUUUCCUAAUUAAUGUAUAGUUGAAAUUUUUUUUAGGAAAUUCUAGUUUGUUAGAUUUUAAUUUCUUUAUGACACUAUUUUGAUUGUAGGAGUUAAAUGAUUUGAAUUGGAAUGCUUUGAUGAUUUUUUACUUCUAGAUAAUCGCGAUCAAGCAAAAUUAUUUUUUAACAUCAAAAUUUAAAUGUGAUGUAGUUUUUACUACUGUUCUCCAUGUGUUACCAUCCAAAUUCAUCAAUGUGAUUAUGUAUGUUGUUGACAAAAAAAAUCUAGUUCUUAGGAAACUCUUGCAAAAAUAAUAAUUUAAUAGUCAAAAAUUCAAAAUCCAGAUGUGUUAAACAAAUGGUUAGUAUUAGUGUAUCACCAUUAUCAAUUCAUCAUCACCAUUCUCACACAUGUUUCAGCAAUAUAACAAAUUGUAACUUUUGACUCGUUAAUCAUGUCAAAUCCGCACGCUCAGAGCAACAUUAGCAACGACUUCUUGUGCAAUCAUUAGUAAUACUAGUUUAUUAUCAUCAGACUUUAUAUUUUAUUUUCGGAAAUUUAAGCCAUAUUUACUAGGUGUAAUAUAUAAUUUUCUAGUAUAUUGGGACUUCCAUCGUCCCGAUUUUCACUAACAUCGGCUGACAAUAUCAGUAGCAAUAUUACUUCCACUACAAGUUUUUUUUUUUCUUUCACAAUAAGAUAAACAACGCUUGUUGGUGUUGAUUUGAUUCAGAAUAAACCAAUAUAAAUUAGUAGCUUAAAUAAUUAGAAGAGGGUGAUACCGAGAUCAAACAUAAGUGUAUACUACUAAUGCUUUAAGCCUCAUCGAUCAAUUCUUCAAAGCUAAAAGCCAAUCUUGUAAAACAAUUUGCGAUAUAAUUUUCUCAUUACAUCUCAAGUUUAAAUAAACGGACACAAGAAACUUUAACAUAAGAAAAUGAACAAAUACUUGAUGGAAUAUUUUGCAUAGACAAUAGAUAAUGCUUUUAAAGUUAUAUAUAUUGGGCCAAGUUGUUUUGUAUAGAUAAUGUUAAAAAAAGAAGGAACUAUUAUGUUUCUAAUGAUUCUUCCAUUUGAAAUGUAAAGACGAAAACUUUGGGCACAUAAACAAACACUUAUAUUAGUUAUCUAAUGCAUAGAUUGUGUGGUUACACGUAUGUUGCGAUCAUUUGUGUUUGUUUUUCUAUCCAUCUUUUCUUUCCAUGUUUUUCUUUAUUUAGUUAAUUUAUAUUCGUAUUAUAACCAAAGUUAGUACCUCAACCUAUAAUUAUUACAUUUUUUUAUCAAUUCUUUUAGGUAUACUGGUAGGGAUAGAACUAAGAGCACCUCCAAUGGGAGGUUGUCUCAAAAAAAAUUAGGGGUUCUCUUGAAUAAUUGGACCAAAAAUAAUUCAAAAGGAGGAAAAUAGAAGAGAGUUGGUUCUCUUCAGAGGCUUUUGAGAAAUGAAGAGAACCUCCUAUGUGUCAGCAAAAUAGUGGGUGGAGCAUUAAAACAAAAGAGAAAAAAAAAGCUGUUUCGUUUUACUUUGUUUUCUCCGGAACUUUUCUCUCCCCUCUAUUGCAAUUUCUUUUUUUUUCUUGUUACAAAGAACACCAAAAUUCCAUUAUCAUUGUUCUUCUUAUUUGUUUUUUCUAUUGUUACUCCAAAAUUUACAAAAAGGCACCAACCAAAAAUACCAUUGUUCUUCUUUUUCUUUUUUUACGAUCACCUAAAUACCAUUGCUAUUCUUUUUUAAAAAAUGUUUGAAAAUAAUGUAUGUUUAAUAUUUUAUGAAUUACAAUAAUUAUUAAUUUUUAUGAUAUACAAUUUUUUAUAAUUUUUUUUUUUCUAAGAACCUCACUAGAGAACCUACCAUUAGACACAAAAAAUCAAAAAAAAAAUCAGGUUCUUAUCUAACACUUUCUCAAAAUUUAUAAUAAAAAUUUUGGGAGAGCUCAUGGAGAGAACUCCCCCAUUGAAGAUGUUCUAAGGGUCGUUAGAAAACUAAAAAUACACAAAGUAAUAACUUUUAUUUUAAAAUACAAUUGUAUGUUAGUUUAAGAAAAUACACAAUAUAUGAAAUUUCCAACAUCUUUAAUAUAAUUUUUGUCUAACCAAAAUUUUCUCCUAACCCUUUAGGGAGGGAGAUGGUAAACCCCUUCCAACUCCUAUAUCGACAAGAUCACCCAAAGGAUUUACUACGUAGGUCGUCAGAUUGCACAUGAAAUAUUAAGCUCUACAAUUUCACCAGAUUAAUGUAUAUAAAAUUAUAAAUACAACCUACAGCCCAAUUUAUGAAUUGCAAGCUGGACUUAAAUUAAAUGAAGUACGUGUUAAUAUUUUACUGGGAGAUUUAAUUAUAUAGGCCGAUUAUUAUUUCUUAUCACAAAGUAAAAUCUUCUCCAUGAGUUUAUUGUUAGUGAUAGUAUUUGUUAGAAUUUUAACAAAAAAAAAAAGAUAGUAUUUGUUAGAAAAUGCUCCGAAUCGGUGAAAAUAGUGGUACACCGGUCCUAUAAGACCAUCUCCAAUGUAUUUCCCUAUUUUUAGCUCUAUUUCUAUAAGAGCAUCUCCAACCCACCUCUAUAUUUGCCUCUAAACUCUAUUUUAUAGGCAAAUUUGCUCCAACUUGGAGAUGCUCUAAUAUUGGAAUAUGCAUUCUUGACAUAUUUAGAUCAAUUCAUGAGGAAUAAAAAAAAAUUCCUUUAUCUUUUUUUUUUCCUACCAUUAAAAUGGAUAGUUUAUCAUAGAGUGCUAGACAUUAUUCGUAUGAUAUGUAACUUAUGUAAUUUAAGUUGGAAGAACGACAUGUGUCUCCCCACGAAGUUUCUAUAGUAUCAUAACAACACAGAUUUUGGGUCUCGUCUCCAGUUCACACAAAACGAAAGUUAAACUCCAGUUUCCCCCUAAAUUGAAAGUUCGAGACCUCAGUCUCCAUAAAUUCAAAUUUUGUGGUUUAUUAUUGGUUUACUGUGCCGGAAACACCAUUAACCGCUUAACAUCGACAUUAAACCGGAUUUACCCAGAAACCAACCCGAUUAUUAGACCCAUUAAACCCGAUAAUCCCCAAAUCGUAAAAUCCCCAAAUUAAACCCUAGAACCCUAAAAACGAAAAAUCCCCAAAUUGAACCUUAGAACCCUAGGAUCAAAAAAUCCCCAAAUUAAUGGAUUCGAAUGAGCUUUAUACGAAUGCUGUCGUCGUUCAUGAGGAGGCUACUAGAGUUGGUCCGCAAGAGGAAGGAGAUCCAAGAGACAACGGACCACAACGAUAGUAACGGCGGUAUGGAUUGGCGGCGGAUUUUGAGAUGAUCGCCGAGAUACUAGCCCCACACCAACACAUCUUCGGCACACCCACAACUCUCCUUUUCUGUCCCACAUUUGAUGCUCCACUCGUAGCUCCAGAUGAAUUGCUCAUAUUCGAGCUUAGAUUUGUGACCAAAAUUGAAAUCAAAGAGGAAGAAGAGAAAAAUCAAAAUUAGGGUUCUAAGAUUUCUCAAUUUGGGGAUUCUUGAAAACGGUAUUUAUUUCGGGUUGGGAUAACUCGAAUUGGGUUUGAAAUCGGUUUAUUAUUCUGGGUUUUGGUUUGGCAUCGGGUUCGACACAGUAAAUCAAUGAUAAACCACGGAAAUUGAAUUUAUGGAGACUGAGAUCUCGAACUUUCAAUUUAGGGAGAAACUGGAAUUUAACUUUUGUUUUGUGUGGACUGGAGACGAGACCCGAAAUCUGUGUUGUUAUGGUACUAUAUGAAACUUCGUGGGGGACACAUGUCGUUCUCCCAUUUAAGUUUGAAAUUUUGAAUCAUUUAAUUUACAUGUUGACAGAAAAAAACAAAAAUAAGAAGCGGCUAAUCGAACGAGAAGGUCUUAUAUAUUACUCUUGAUGUGAAAGACAACCCAUGAGAUAAAGAUAAUCUUAAUUAGUUUAAGCUAGCAUCCUUGAGUAACUAUAACCACUCCUUUGACGGUUCAUAAGCUAAUAAUGAUGAUUAUGCUCCAUUAUGAGUUUUUUUAAUAUGAUAGUUAUUGAUUCUAAUUUAAAAUGAUACUUCAAAUUAAUAAAGAAAUGUGUGAAGAGGCACAUUAUGUCGAGGUGCAAUUUCUUAAUCAAGUCUAACUAAAUCCCAUAGGCCAUCACUACUCCUACAGGAGUUGACUUAGACCACCAAUUAAAAUAUGUAUAAAGAAUGUAAUCUAGUAGACGAAUAAUUUAUUAGAUAGGUAGAAAAUAAAGUGAAUUUUGCUUACAUUUAUUUAGAGAUAAGACAAAAUCGAUUAGGACAAGAUGCUCGCUUAGCUACAUCAGUUUCGAACGUAAUAGACGAAUUUGAAACUUAACAACCCAAGUUUUUUUGGGUAUAUUCUGACAUUACCGUUUUAAUUAGCUUUGAUAUUACACUAUGCAUUUUUAGUGAAUUCAUGUUUCUUGCAUAAUUAUUUCAACGGUAAUACCAGGUUAACUUCUAGAAAAAUAUUAGUGUAUGUAAAAAUAUUUAAUAAAAUCAAUUUAAUUAUCAAUACACUACAAGAAAACAUCACAAUUUCCGACGACGGUAUUGGUCGGGAAUUCGUCGGAAAUAGCAUAUUCCGACACAUUUCCGACAAAAUCAAAUUCGUCGGAAUUCUCUUGUCGGAAACCAUAAGUUGUCGGAAAUUCGUCGGAAAUUAUCGACGAAAACUAUUCGUCGGAAUUUUUUGUCGGAAAUAUUUGUCGGAAAUUUCCGACAAAUUUCCGACGACUAUUUAUAUAGUGGUCGGAAAUUCGUCGGAAAUUUCCGACCACUUUUAAAAUAAAAAUAAAUAUAUACCAAAAUUAGUUCCGACAAAAUUCCGACGACUUUUCUAUUUUUAAAAAAAAAAACAAAAAAACAAAUAAGAGUAUUAUAGUUAAAAUUAAAAUAAUUAUUGAAUAUCUUCAAAAAAUAGAUUAAUUGUCACAUAACCAAUUUUCAUUAUCAACAAAUGAGAAUUAAAAUUAAAUUAAUUAAAAUGAAUAAAUAUAUAAAUACAUAACUGUCUCUAUUAAUUGAACAAGAGAAUAAAAAUUUUUAACUUUAAAAAAAAUAGAAUGAUGUUUGAAGUAGAGAGAAGAAGAUGUUAAUAUAGAUUGAGAUUGUUGUGUUUGGAAUUGUGGAAUGGAUGAAAACUCAUUUGGUAUAUAUAGAAACAAUUUCCGACGAUUUAUUUCGUCGGAAAUUUGUCGGAAACUACAAAACGCGGAAAAUUCAUUUGAAUUGAAUGUACAAAGGCGGGAACAUGAAAAAUCAUACAUUUUCCGACGAAAUUCCGACGAACGUAGAAAUUUCUGACGAAUUUCCGACAAAUUAAUUAUUAAUUAUUUAUUUACUUAAUUAUAAAUUAUUUAAUUUUUUCAAUAUUUACUUAAUUAUAAAUUAUUUAAUUUUUUCAAAAAAAUAUUCAAAAUAAUAUUUCUGACGACUUUCCGACGAAAUUAAUUAUUUAUUUAUUAUAAAUUAUUUAUUUUUUCAUUUUUUAAAAUAAAAAUAAUUAAAUAAAUAAUUUCCGACGAAUUUCUGACUAAACUUUCCGACAAAUUUCCGACUAACAAAACUUUCUGACUUAAGUUUCGUCGGAAAUUCGUCGGAAAUAUUAAAGGUUUAAACUCAUAAUUUCUGACGAAUUUUCCGACUAAUAUUUCCGACCAAAGCGUCGGAAUUUUGUCGGAAAAUGUGCAGUGAAUAAACAUGUGUUCACCUAAUAUUUACGACGAGUUUUCCGACAAGUUUUCGACCAAUUUCCGAUAAAAUUAAAUAGUCGGGAUUUUCCAUGUUUUCCGAUGAAUCCUUCCGACAAAGUUCCGACGAAUUUGUGGUCGUCGGAAAGUUUUCUCUUUUUUCGACGAGUUUCCGACGAAUUUUUUUUCCCUCGGAAUCUUGUCGGAAAGUUGUCGGAAACCUGUCGGAAAAUUUCCGACCAAACAUUUUGUCGGAAAUUUUCCUCGGAAAUGACUAUGUUUUCUUGUAGUGAUAUCUCUACAUUACACUUAUAUUUUCGGUAACAUGUAAUGAUAUACCUCCAUGGUUAUCAAUAUGUGAUACAUCGUAUAAUAACUUUCAAGACGGAUUGAAUUAAGAAAAUAGAGAAAAUAAAUUCGAGGUGGUUUGCAAGUGGAGUCAAAAUAUUUUAUAAAAUACUGUGGAGUUGCAUACUAAAGGUCAAACGAAGGUAAAAUCUACAGACCGAGAAUAGCUAGACGUUGUAGAUAAUAAACAAUGGUAUCGUAGGAGACCACCACCGAGUAUAGAUAUGAUCAUUGUACGUUCGCAUUGUUCGAUCGAGAAUAUUGAUCGUCGUCCUAUGAGUGAGGUGAUUAUAAUAGUCUUAUUUUUUGAUAAAUGGGAAUUUAUGUGAAGAGGUUUAAAAUGAUUUAUUUGAUUACAUAUCUCACCAACAAAAUAUGUAUAUGUUUUGUAACUAAUCAUACAAGAAAUCCAUAGUUAAAUGUGUUUAAACCUUUAUGGAUGAAUGACAUAUUGAUAUUAUUUUGUAGAACUUUAUAACUCUGGAUUUUUUUGAUGAUUUUCUAGGGUUACUCGACAAGUCUUUUGAAUUUUUUUAAGUUGUGCACGACCGUUGAAUGAAUACGAGAUUCAAAGACUAAAAACUAACAUGAUGAUCCACAGAUAUAGGUCACCUAAACAUUACAUCAACUACAAGAAAGCAUUGAUUUUGGGACAACAUGAUUGGUAAAACAGGGUCGCAAAUAUAGAAUUUGAGACUGCCUAAAGACUACAUAGCAGCGUCGCAAAAAAACCGGAGGGUAUUUUGAUCUCUCCUUCGUAACCAAUUUGCGACUACAGUUAUAUAGUAUUUAUUAGUUACAGUAAAUAUUUAAGAUUUAAAACUCAUAAAAAUAAGUUUAGUCGAAAAUUCAAAUAGUAAUCUGGACAGCUAAAAUUAUUCUUUAAAUUAUACUCGGUACAAAUCAUAAGCUCACAAAAACAGUUAAAGUUUGUUGUAACUAAUGAUCAAAAUAGUGAGAUAGAGUAAAGUGGGGUGUAGAUCCACUACACAGAGACAAGUAGUUGCUAGAUAGAGGGAUAGAGUUUGGAGCUUUGAAAACAUCAAUGCACAAUGGAGAUGAUUAGUUAGUGAAUACGGAGGCUUGAAUGGUGUCAUUUUAAAACAAUUGUAUCAAUGAAAUUAACAUAGUAAAAACUAAAAAGUGUUGAAAUAAUUUAAUUUAACAUCACUAAUUCUGUUUUAAAAUUAGUUUUGCAAGCUAGUUUUUGUUUUUGCAAAUGAUAUUAACUCGUUAAAACUAGUUUUGGUUUUUGUGGUAAGAGCUAUACCACUUCAAUAGCUAUCAAUUAUAUAAGUUAUCAUACUCUUAUCUUUUUUUGUAUAACUAUUAUUUAUCGUUACUUUUUUCUCUCUUAAUCAUAUUAGUGUCGCUUACUGCUUUUUUCUUCUCUGCUAGAAGCUAUAAGCCUAUAAUAUUGUUUUAUGUUACCUGUCAGAUUUAUUUUGUUAUAUUUUGUUAGAAGAUAGGUUUUGAGUCCAUUGUUUUGUUAUAUCUUUAGCCAAAAUUUAUAUUACUUUAUGUAAAAGCAUUUAAUCAGAAAACAAAAUAAAACCAUCAAUAGAUUCAGAACCCACUAAAUGGAAUAUUAAAUUCUCUUUUACCACUGAUUUCCGAAAAUAUCAACUCCAUUGUAGGCAACGUAGUUUCAUUCCACGGAUAGAACUAAACAACAAAGUAAUACUAAAUUAACAAAUUAAAGUAAGAAUAAAUGAGUGAUAAAAUAUUCAUUGGAGCCUUGGGAAUCCUGAAAACGAAACUACAAAUUCUCCAUUUGAUUUGACUAAUCAUAGAUAAUCUUUUUCGUAUUUGAUAUUAUUUAUUUCUGUCAAUAAAAGUUUGUAAGCUUCCAUCAAAUUGUUAAAAUAUGUUGGGUCUGACUGGUUAAAAAACCAGAAGAAAUGAGAAGAAAAAAUAGAGGAAAAGAAAAGUCCCAUCAAGAAGAAAAAAGAGUUCUAGUUGUUUACGAGAUGAAAGAAUUCUUUUGUUGUUGUUACUUUUUGACAAUUUUAAAAGAAAAAGUUUUCUUCUAAUUUUUUUUUUACUGGUAUAUAACUGAAGAAUUUUUUCUUCUACGUUUUUCUUUUCUUUUAUUGUAGUUAACCAGUCAUACUUGUUAUUUUAAUAUAUAUAUAUAUAUAUAUAUAUAUAACACAGAUGAAAUUAUUAAGCUGAUGAAAACAUAAACCACAUGAUCUAAUUUUGAUGACAUCCGGUUCACAAUCUAUAUGAUCAUGAUUGGCUAUUGGAAAAUACUCUCACACUAGAUUUUAACCCGCGGUGUACCGCGUGAUGAUUUAAUUUUAAAGUUAGUAUAAAAAUAUUUUGUAAAUUGUAUCUCUUUAUAACAUAUUUAUUUAUAUUAUAGUUUAUAAUUGUUAUUAAGGAACGGUAUACCACGAGUCGAUGAGACAAUUAUUAAUAAAUAGAGGAUUUAACCAGUAUUAAAGCAGUAUAUAAAUAUUGAUUCAAAUUCGUCCGCCAUAUAAAUCCUUUCCGAAAUAUAACAUGUUGCGUAAUUUCUUAACCUAUCCCUUGAUUUGUUUUUAUUUUAAAAUUUAAUAAUUAUUUAUUAUAUAUAAAAGUUUACAAAUCAUAUCAUCCUCUAAGACCACAUGACAUUAUACCACGAGACAAAUUUUGGUUUUAUACAAUCUUUUCUAAAUGAGACUGAUUUAAUAUGUCUAAUAUUUGUGGUAUUAAAAAAGGAUUUAAUCCGUAUUAAAGCGGCGGAUUAAUGAUAUUUUAAUCUGUUUAUUAUUGUUGAUUCAAAACUCCGUCCCGCCAAACCCGUCCGGUAAAAAAACUCAUUUAUUUUAUUAAUGUUCUUAUUUAUGAUAUGAUUCUGAAUCAUAAUCUAAAUAUUUUAAUCGAUGUAGAACGUUGAACACACAUUUUCGUCAAUUGGAUAAUAUAUGUCCGUUUUUAAAAUUUUGAAUCACAGUAUAUGCAGAAAAAAAAUUGAUUUUUUUUUACCUUUAUAUAUUAUAUGAUGAUUCAAAACAGUUAAAAACAAAUCAAACAAAGAUGAUAGAAGAAUCAUAAUUAUAAAUCUUAAUCAAAUCUUCUAACUAUCUAAAUUAUUAAAUAUGCAAUAUCCGGUGUUUGAGUUGGGUUAAAUAUAAUCCGAUCCAACAAAUUUUUUGUGAAGGAAUUUUAAAAACGAGUCGGGUAUCCGAUAUAUCUGGAAGCAUUUUUACUUACACGUCACCAAAGUGUUGCAAAAAUAAUAGUCUAGAUAAUUCAGUUUGUUCCAUUUGUCAAUAUAUAGAUUGUAAGAAAAUAGUUAUGCUACCAUAUAGACAAGUUCUAUUUGUAAAAAAUAGUAGCAAAAAAAAAGAUUUAUAUACUGCCUCAAAAAAAAAAAACUGAUGGCAAAAAGCCAAAAACAUCCGAAUUUUUUUUUUCUUUUCAAUUUAUGCAACUUUUACUUGGCUAUUUAUUUUUGGGGGUUGUUUCUCAGAUUGCUUUUUUUUUUUUAGUGAUUACGUUUUGAAUGGUAAAAAAAAUCACCACCACAACAAAAUAUAAGCAAAAAAGUACCAAGUGGUUCAUGACUACUGAUGAUCUUGCUAUUGGGUAGAAAGUAGAAACAACAAUACUCAUGGUUUUUUUUUCAAACCAAUUAAACUAAAAUUAGAGCUUAAUGUUGUUGCACAAAAAAAAAAAAAGAGAGCUUCAGGCUGUGUUAAAGCGUUAAACUCUUUGACUUUGAUAUAUAUCUACAAAGACUGCGAUACGGCGUUAUAAGGACAUAUGCAAGGGUGCAUUUUUUAAGUUUGAUCUUAAGGGAGAAAAAAUAUUAAAAUAUUGUAAGAGCUUUAAUUAAGAUCUUUUGUAAAGUAAGUGAUUAUUGGUAGAACAUGUUUAGAUCAUAGGAAUUGAUUUGAAAUUGAAAUAAUGUAAGAUCAUUAGUUUACAAUUUUAAAAACUUUAAGAAAUAACUUUUAAAUUGCAAACUUAAAAAACUUAUACUAAAAUAGAUUUGAAAAUAAAAAGAAACACAAAAUAUAAUAUCAAAUUUUUAUGAAACAAAAAAGAACAUUAAAGAUAUAAAUAAAUAAAACAAACAAACAAACAUAUUAUUUAAUUAAACCCUAGCAUAGAUUUCGGAUCGAAGGAGAAAUGAAAUGUUUUUUUCUUUUGCAAAAAUUCGUAGCCAAUGAUGAAGCGUCACGUCACGCUAAAAUUGGGGCAAGAACAGUUCUACAACAAGAACAGAUCUACAACAGAUCUAAUACUAUUCACAAUAUUUUUUAUUUUUAAAAGGCUAAGAACACCUAAGUGUUCUCCCUUUAAAUAUGGCCUAAGAAUUUACCGUUCGUGUGACAAUAUAUAAAUAUAAUGUAAGAUGUGUUCAUUAAAAUUUGUGGGUCUAAUUGUUAAACGUUAAUAAAUUUAGAAUUCUUUUGUGGUAUCCCACACUAGCUUGGAAACAGCUUUGCAUCCGGAAAUGACGUAAAGCCUCCCAAUUAUGAUGGUAGAUAAUACACAACAUCGUCCUUCUUCAUGUAUUAUUUUUAGUGCUUUACAUAUAGUUUGCAACUUUAGUUUUUAGUUAAUUAGAGUUGCAAACUUUGCUUUAUUUAUCCCACUAAUCUAUACGACAGAGAAAAAACAAAUUAAACUCAAAUUAUAGAUUUUAUAUUUUAAUGCAUAUCAUAUCAAAAUCUUCUUUUCUAUACUCACAACAAUUUAAUACAUAUAGAUAUAUCUAUAUAAUAUACACAUCUUUGUAUGAUUGUUUUAUAUCUACUUAUAUAUGCAUAUAUCAAUGGCUGGCCAUCAAUCUCAGCUCUAGAGUGUGUGUGUGUGUGUGUAUCUAACUAUCUAUGCAUUGGAUCGGAUCGAAGUAGAACAUUGUCCUUAUUCGGAGGAGGCAACAGAUACACACGUGUUCAAGAUUCGACGAGGAGAAUGACACCCAAAAAAGUACAAUAUAUAUGUACGUUUUAUGCAUAGUGUAUUUUUUUUUACAACUUAAAUUGUAUUUUUAUACCAAUUAAUUUAAUGAUUGAUAGGAUCAGAUCAAAUUUACAAGAAAAAAUACCCUAAAACUUGAUAUAAUGAAAUUAAGGAUAAAAAUAAUUUUACUUUUAACAGAUGAUAUAUAAAACAAAAUAGAUGCAACUAUGCAUUAAAAAUAAAAGAAAACCUGGCUAGUGAGUUGUGACCCUCUAACUUAUAGGUCACAUUGUAUCCAUGUAAGUCUAUAUGGUUUCAGAAAUCUUAAAUAAUUUUACAAAGACAGAAAACAAAAAACAACAAAAAAUGAUUAGAGAUUAACAUAUUUUACCUAUUAAAAUUUUAAAAAUUGAAAAUUUAAGAUUUUAAGUCAUCCACAUAAGAAAAGCCUAGUUAAAUUCAAAGUUCAUACUGGAGCAACUGAAAAUUAUUAUUAUGAAUAUUUAAGUUAAUAAUAAAAAUACUUGGAUUUGAAUACUCAGCAAAAACAAACUAUAAGGGAUUUUUUAUUUUUGUCAAAGUUUAAAUUUCUGUUUUUGUUUCUGGUAUUUUUGUUAACUUUUAGUUGUGAAACUACAAAGGGUUAACCAACGUCUUAAUGAAUUUUCUAUAGAUGGGGCAUCUAAAAAUCUAUUUUAAUAAGGUCGUAGACCAAAGUCAGAGAAAACACGGCUAUGUCUAGGUGCAUAUAUAUAGCCUCCUUAUACCUCAUAACUUAAUUACUUGUGAAGCAUUUGCUUUCUUUCACCAUUUUCUCUCUUACUCUUCCUCUCUCAAUUCUGAUAUUGCUACGAAGAAGUUAUAUUUUUUUGACGACUCACGACUCGUUGAGGUGAUCUACCAAAAGGACUAAACAACAAAACAUAUUUUUUAUCCCAACAAAAAAAGUCAAUCAUCAUGAAGUUCUCAAUCUCAACACUGAAGCAGGUACAACCAAUCUUGAGUUUCAAGAACAAGCUAUGUAAGGUCAACGUCAACUCUUUUCUCCAUCCCAAAGAAAAAGUCGUCUUCGUGAUGGGAGCUACCGGAUCGGGUAAGUCUCGUCUUGCCAUCGACCUAGCAACUCGUUUUCAAGGAGAGAUCAUAAACUCCGACAAGAUCCAACUCUACAAGGGCCUCGACGUCCUAACAAACAAAGUCACCCCUAAAGAAUGCCGAGGCGUGCCUCACCACUUGCUUGGAGUAUUCGACUCCGAAGCCGGAAACAUAACAGCCACCGAGUAUAGCCGCCUUGCUUCACAAGAAAUCUCAAAACUCUCAGCGAACAACAAGCUUCCCAUAGUAGCCGGUGGAUCAAACUCUUACAUCGAAGCACUCGCGAAUCAUUCCUCGGGGUUUUUGUUAAACAACUACGACUGCUGUUUCAUUUGGGUUGAUGUUUCCUUACCCGUACUAAACUCCUUUGUCUCAAAACGUGUCGACCGCAUGAUGGAAGCAGGAUUACUUGAAGAAGUAAGAGAAAUGUUCAAUCCAAAAGCGAAUUACUCCGUAGGGAUAAGACGAGCUAUCGGAGUCCCCGAGCUCCACGAAUAUUUACGUAACGAAUCUCUAGUGGACCGUGCCACACAAAGUAAAAUGCUUGACGUAGCAGUUAAAAAUAUCAAAAAGAACACAGAGAUAUUAGCGUGUCGGCAGUUAAAAAAGAUUCAACGGCUUCACAAGAAGUGGAAGUUGUCUAUGCACCGUGUGGAUGCAACCGAGGUGUUCUUGAAACGCAACGUAGAAGAACAAGACGAGGCUUGGGAGAAUCUUGUAGCUAGACCAAGCGAGAGAAUCGUCGACAAGUUUUAUAAUAAUAACCAACUGAAAAAUGAUGAUGUUGAGCACUGUUUGGCGGCGUCUUAUGGCGGAGGAACUGGAAGUAGAGCCCACAAUAUGAUAUGAAAAGUUUUGUCAUUGAUCAUGUGAAGCUUUUUGGAGUGCGAAAACGAUGAGUCUCUAAGAUUUCGUAUGUGUGGUGGUGAUUCCCCGGAGGCUUUUUUCAACGUACAGGUGUGACAUUACCCCUAAAGAAAAAAACAAAAAAGUUUUUUUUUUUGUAAGUGUUUGUAUAGAAGAUAUUCGGUUAAUAUUAAUUGUUUGAUACCUAUUGACUACGAGUUCACGAUAAACCGAAAGUUUUAAUUCCUUGUGCCACGAUAUCACACUUAUGUGUAUUGUUUAUAAUAUAUAAACAAUUAUUUGUAUUGCUUUUUGUUGUGUGAAGUAUAUCUUGGCCUUACAUUUACGCAUUCAUGUUAUUGGCUGAGCAAUCAAAAACUAAUUAUAACAGUUAAAUUCUCCUGAUUUGAAAACGCCCUUUUGGAGUAUGACAGUUUAGUAUGCUCAAUAUUUUGAAUUGGUUAAUAAUCUAUGCAUGUUUUUUUUUCGAUUAAUGAUUCAUGCAUCGUAAAGACAUAUAUAUGUAUAUAUGUUCUGUUUUUGUUAAUGUAAUGAACGUUAGGGUCUUUCAUCUGUCUAUGUUUUUUUAUAAUCAAAUAUUAACAUUUAUCCAAUAUCCAAGAUUGAAACUCCUUAACCAUAUCAAGUUUAAGUAAAGAAAGAUAUAUGAUCAUGUUGUAUUAACAUUUGAGCACGAAAGUUCUACAUCUACGUAAAAGUUGAGUAAACACGCUAAUAGAUAUUAUUAACCAACAAUAAAAUAUUAACAUAUCCGAAUUAUUUUUAACGAAUUAUAUAUUUAUGUGAUAUAACUAUAACAGACUAAUUAACACUUAACAGUUUAUAUAAUUAUAAACAGCUAAUUGCCUAAUUGUGAGAUCAAAUGAUCUCUUUUUUUUUUUUGUCAAAAAGAUCAAGUGAUCUUUUGUAUGUUAAUAGGUAAUAUGACCGUUGAUAUGAUUGAGAAAGUUUACCGCCUAUUCAAAGGUAAUUUAAGAAGAGACUACUUUAACUCUGCUAACGUUACUGGUUUUGGCAGAAAUACGGAUUUUGGCCUAAAUCAUUUUAGUAAAAUAGAAAAGAAAAAAAAACAACUGAUUUUGAAUAAUCUUUUUUUUUCUUUUUCUUUCCUGGAUCCCACUUUGGAGACAAUUUAACCCAAAUGGGUAAACAACAAGGAAGGAUAAAACCUUGAGUGCACGAAUGCAGCUUGUGAUUUUGCAGUAGACUACUUGAGUUAUCUAUUUACACGUUCUCUUUCAUGUAGCAUCAAAAUUUGGGACAGUUCAAGUAAAUAAAAGACUUUGAACAAUUAUAGUAAAAAAAAAAAAAGUGAGAGGAGGAGAAUCUUUAAGUUGAGAAAGGGAAGAAUCGAAGAAAGAACAUGAAAAAGAGCAAAGAGCGCGUGGUAGGCGCGUGGCAAGUAAGUGAGUUAAGAAGUCUGUGUCAAUGACUCAAGAGAAAAUUGCACGCGCAGCUUAAUUUAAGGAUCUUCCGUACAUAAGAGCAAAAGCGUGUGGAGAAGGUUGGAUCAAUCAUAAAUUACGUUCGUACAGUUGUGAAGAGACAUUGAUCAUUAUUUAGAUAAUACUUGUAUUAUCAAGUAGUAGUAUAUAUUAGUAUUAUGUUAUUGUUGUUAUUCAUGGACCCAUCCAUUAAAUUGAAUUGUACACACGUCAAGUCAUAACGCAUCUAGGACAAGGAGGUGGUGAACUAAAUAGCACUAAACUAAUGUCAUAAGGAGACAGCAUCUGAUGUCUUUCUUUUCCCUAUUCUUUCGUUUUAUAAUUUUUUUAACGAUUUUUUUCUCUUUGGUGUACAAUUGUGAUGUUCUUCUGAUAAUGAUUUGUGGGGUUAGUAGUUUGAGAUGAACUUGAAAGCACUAAAUAAGAAAAUUGUGUUUAGGACUUGAAUUCUCAUUCACAUUAAUCAAUAUAUAGUCGGCCAAUCAGUAUUGUUCACCGGGGUAAAUUAUACAAAUUACCUGCCACGAUUAAUUCUGAAAUAUUGACUCACAAACAACAAAAAGAAUACUAUAUAACGUUUUAUAACUUGUAACUCAUAUUAAUGAUGAUUGUGAUGAUGGCUCCAAAUUGGCACUAUAAAAUAGAAGAGAGUAGAAUGUUUUCUUAAGGCUUAAAAGAUGAAAUAAAACAAAUCAAAGGUUGAUAUUGAACAUAGAAAAUACCAAAAGCUGCUCUUUAUUUAUUCCCUCAAUAUUCUAUAUUUAUCGUAUUGUGACGCAAAUGGAAAUUGUGUUCUUAUAUUUUGGAGAAAAUGGCGAAUCGUUCCCUAAAAUAUUUAUAAAAAAUAAACAAUCUUUUGUGGUGCGCUUAGUCUCUUUAUUUACAGAUUUUAUUGGUCCAACUUCAGUGAGUUACCUUUUUUUUUUUCCAUCAAUCGUAUUGCACUCUACAUAUUCCAUAUCGGGCCAUGCUUAUCUAGUUAUCUUCAAAUUAUUUACACCAUUUUCAAAGGGUUUGUUUUGUUUCUUCCAAACAAAUUAAAAUCAAUUUAUUGCAAGAAUAAUUUUAAAACAAAAAUGUUAUUUUUAUAUUUCCGCUUACUAGCUAAAAGCUAGGAUUUAAGCAAAGAAUAUGUUAUAUCUAUUAUUAAUUUUUUUGUGUAACACAAAUUACACAAUGACGCACACAUAAUAAUCCGUAUCUAGUAAAAAUAUUUGAAUAUGCUAGAAUUGUUUAUACAUCUAGUAUUAAUACUUCUGCAAAUAUUAAUUAUAUAUUUUCAUUUAAUAUGAUAUCUAAUGAAGAUUUUUCAAUUUAAAUAAUAAUUUAUUCAUUUUGUUUCAAUAAAUUGAAUAUGAAAUCCAUAGAUGACUAAACACAAAGUAGAUUGUAUCAUUUCCUAAUCAUGUAAAUAACUAAAACAUACUAGUAUAUUUGAUAUUUUUACUGAAACAUAGUACUUUAACUACUAUAAAGUUCGAUGGAAAAAAAAAAACUACUAUAAAGUUAUAUGUUGAGUUGCACAACUUCAAGAACAAAAAAAAGGUUUCUUAAAACACUUUGACAUACACAUUACACUCUUUAGAAAUCUUACCCAGAAAAUAUCAAACGGUAUUACAUUUAAAGUUUUAAUCAAAAUAUCACCCUAAAAAAGAAUUCUAACGAAACAGUGGGAAUAUGAAUAUAUGACCCACAAUGCUUGAAGCUAUCUAGAAUCUAAAAUUGCAGAAUUUUAGGCCUUCAAUUUUGGUAUGUCUUCGUCUCUUUUAGAUGUGCUUUUGCUUUUUAAAGCCCAUUUUGUUUUAGGAGUCUGUUUUUUUUUUAUAUAAUUAUUCUUAGCUUUUCUAACGUACAAGAAGAAUAUAUAACGUCAACAUCAACUUUUUGCAAAGGGAACCUAAGUUCAAUGCCAAAGUUCAGGUUCUGAGCACAUAAAUACAAAAAGAAGAAAACUUAAUUUCUAAAACCAAUUUUAUUCUAACGAGUGAAUAUUUUUCCACGUCACAUUGUCGUCUUUCUCCUGUUGUGGGUUGGUGCCUUGGAGACACUGUUCCGUCCUUAUGCUGCAAGCGUGUAAUCCCUGGGCAUCUCAUUCUCAUCAUAAUUUUACUAACAAAUACAUGCAUGUCGCAAUCCUAAGUAUUCUACAAUCUCAUGUACUCAAACAAUUUUUAAAGUUCAACAAUUUCUUACCCAAAAAAAAACUAAAACAGCCUCGUGUGAAACUUGGCAUGAUCAUGAUUCAUGCAUGUCGCCCGCAAGGUGGUGGGCGAGUGGUAGGGCGAAGUCCGAAGUUGAGGGUGAAAUCCCCGAACCCGGGUUCGAUCUUCCUCCCUCGCUGUUAUCAACACUUUGUUGGAAAGUCUGGGCUUGGGCUUCGGCCCAGGCAGUUUACCUGGUAGUCUGGUAACACGCGAUCCAGCUACCCCCGGGCAUUAGUCGGAAAGCAUUUCAAACUCGUAUCAGGCAGUGUGGUAGCCCAUCCUUCGAGGUGGUAGUGAGUCCACUCUGUAGCACUCAGGUGCGUUCCUGUCGAGUGAUUGCUCGAGUAAUUAACUCAAUACACUUAACCGUUAGGCAGUAUAUUCUAGGUCGAUCCAUAAGGACCAAAGAUACUCUAAAGAUUUCCGAGACUCGUUCUUAGCUAAAGCGGAAAGGUUGUUUGUUUGGUUUUCAGAUUUUAAAAUAAAAAUGCAAAUUAAUUAAACGAUUUGACUUCAAGACUUAAAGACAUUGGGCUAUAGGAUAUUCAGAGAUCAAUAAAUAACGGAAACAUUAGACAAGGAAUUCAACAAUUAAUUAAGCACCGUUCUUGAACAUGAACACAUUUAGACUAAUUCUCUUUCAAGACAUUAAUCACUAAAUUUGACUAUUCGAUUACUAAACUUUCGCAUGUAAUUUCCUAGUCAAAUUCGCAUUAUAAAACAAGUUCAUUAAGUUCACAAUGCGUCCUAACGUCAACUUUCGUUGGCUAGAAAUACAUUGCUCAAUUCACAUUCUUUCAGGCAUUCUAUCGAACACUUUUGAUGCAUAGAAAAACCUAGACUCUACAACAGGGUGAUCAAUCCUAUUCUAGCAUUAAGAACAUGUGAAUCAAAGAACCUAGAGAAUAAGAACUCCUAAUAUCAAUCAAUCCAUUAAUCCAUUGAAUCUCCUAAUUAGAACCCUAAAACCCAAUUGAGAAACUACUCACUCAUGGCAAAGAAAACAACACAAAGAGAUGAAGAAAGCAUAAUUGAAUUGAUAAAUAAAGAAUAAGGGUUUAGAAAUCUUCUCCAAAGUGUCAAAGAGGAUGAAUCUCUAGAAUCCCAAAAAGCUUACAAAGAGAAGUCUCAAAAGUUGCAGAGAAAAGAACGUAGAGAGAAAAAUAGGUUUUUCUGGGUUUUUAUACCCAAGUACAGAAAAAGGCAAAUAAACCCGGUUAAGAAAAACCGGUCUGGUCGUCGAGGCUCGGAUCGAUCGAUCCCAUGUGUGGAUCGAUCGAUCCAGAUAUGUUGAAUCAAUUGGUCUUGGACGAAUGAGGGUUGGAUCGAUCGAUCCCCUCCUGGGAUCGAUCGAUCUCGAGCGACUGGAACUUUUGGCUUCAUCGUCACAAUUGGGAUCGAUCGAUCCACGCCUUGGAUCGAUCGAUCCCCAGCUCCUGGUGAUCUCUUGUACUGUUUCUCCAUUGUUUUAGCUCCGAAUAGGCUCAAUCAUGCACAAGAUGCUCCGAAUCCAGCUCGAGCACCUAUAGCCUGCAAAGGACUCAAGACACAACCGAAAAGACGCAAAAGACGGACUUUGACACGAUAGAUGACUCAAAACAUGGACUAAACCAAGACUCGAAACUGUUAAAAACACAACACAUCACUCCCCCCGACUUAAAUCUUUGCUUGUCCUCAAGGAAAGCAGAAAUCCUUAUCAAGAGAAGAGGUUUGAAAACACGAGAACUCACAUUUUCUUCGGGAUCAUGUUCUAUCAAUUGCCUGCAAACCACUAUCACACAACUCAUCAAACCGUACUAGACUGUACUUCGCCAUAACCGUAGCAACAAAAUUAAGUCCCGAAAUCUAAAAGAAUUUUCAGAAUCAGAUAACUUAACCUUUUAACAUUCAUUAGCAGUGGCGUGUAUUCUCACAAAGGGGGUAUCGAACACGUUAUGGGCUUGGUCAAAAAGGGCUAAUAUUUAGUGGCUCAAGGUGUUUCGGGUACUCAACAGUAUAAACGGAUGCACGUCAUUAUGUUGUGUUUUUAUCGGUUUUGAGUCUAUGUUUUCUUUCUUACAUCAUAUGUUUUAUCGAGUCAUCAGAAAUGGCCUUCGCUUUUUCCUUCUUCAGGAUUGGGUUGAGCUCUUUGCCACUCCUCAGUGAGAUAGCAUUAACAUACUCCUUACCAUUGUUGUAGUCUUUCGGGUUCGUGAUCGGCUUUCCAGGAAGAACCCCCAUUGGUCUUGUAGAUGCAGAAACUGUCUGAGCUACUUGAUUCUCAAGUGUCUUAACAUGUGAAGCUAGUGACUCGAAUUUCCCAUGAAGAUCACUGUACAUGCUAUCAACCUUGACAUUAAUAUCUGCAGCGUUCUUUUUCUGUCCCUCAAGAAUUUGCUGCAUCAUGAGCUUCAUCUCAUUGUCUCCUGAAGAAGAUGCAGAAUUAUUACCUGUAGGUGCUUGGUAACUUCCCUGGAAGUUGUUAAACUGAGAUUUCUGCUUGAAACCUCCCUGAUUGUACCCAUUGCCCUGCAUCUGUGGCUUAGGUACGAACACCUUAUUGUUGAAAUUUCCCUGUCCAGGUACAAAAGGCUUGGACUGAAAUUGCUGACCCUGUGAUCCCGUCUGCGCUGGGUAUACCUGAUCCUGCGGAUUCUCUACAUUGGUACUCCUGUAGGAAAGGUUAGGGUGGUUCCUGUAGUUCUGAUUGAAUCCCCUGUUCUGGUAAUUGCCCUGACCGUUGAUGUAGUUUAACUCAGCCUGAACAUCCUCUGAACCGUCCCCGACGAACUCUUGAUACACCUGAGCUUCACCACUAUCGUCACAGAAAUUAACAACCCGCUGAUCUCUCUUGAGGAGCUGCUCUACCUUAGCUGUCAACUCAGCAAUCUGUUUCGACUCUCCUCCUCCACCUUUGUUCGACCUGUCAUAGUCAACAUUGUGGUUACUGUUGCUGGUUGCCAAAUUCUCAAUAAGCUCUGUAGCUUCAUCCUCAGUCUUGGUCAUGAAAUCCCCAUUACUAGCAGUAUCCAAAGCCAUCUUGUAGUCCUUAUCGACUCCCCUGUAGAAAGUAUUGAUCAAAGUGGCAUAUGGAAACCCGUGAUGAGGGCAUUCUCUGUAGUAGUCUUUGAACCGCUCCCAAGCAUCAUGGAACGAUUCUGUACCAUGCUGCUGAAAAGAAGAGAUCUUGUUCCUCAGAAUGGCUGUCCUAGACUGAGUAAAAUACUGUGACAGAAAUGCAGCCUUGUAGUCUUCCCAGCUUCUUAAAUUCUCAGUGUCCAAAGACUUCAACCAGCGAUGGGCUUUGUCAGCCAAGGAGAAGGUGAAAAGUCUGCAUUUGAUGAUAUCAUCAGGUACUCCAUUCAUUCUUGUUGUACUGCAUAUAUCCUCGAAGUUAUCCAAGUGGUAGACUGGAUUCUCUGAGGUGAGACCAUGGAACUGAUUCUGCUUCACCAAAGAUAGCAACCCUGUCUUGAUCUCAAAAUCAUUCCUAUUGAUUGGCAGCUGUUGGUUCAUGUCUCGAAAAUGCACAACAUUAGGAGCAUCAUGAUCUCUCAAAGUCUGUCGAGCAGGCACGGGCCUAGCAUUUGCUACAGCUACACGAGCGGCAUUAGCAGCAGCAUCACGUUCACCAGCAGCAGGAGCAUUAUUGUUUCUAGGCGGUGGAGGAUCCUGAAACACUCCUUGAUGAUCACCUCCAAGUGGAAGUUCAUCCCUAUUCUGAAGAUUUCCUGCAGCAUCAAAUUCAGCCAUUUCAGCUUCUCUCUGCUCGGCUAUCUUCUUCUUUUUCUUAUUCGCUCUUUCAAAUUUUCCGAUAUCCUCUUGGUAAUCCGCUAGAUGUGACGAGCCUUGGCUGCGGGUCAUACACCUGAAAACACCAAAGAGAAAACGAAAACGAAAAUUAGUAACAGAAAAUAAAAAUGCUUUAGACUAAAAACUAAUCCUAAAUCGUUAGGUAACGCAAUUGGUCCCCGGCAACGGCGCCAACUUGAUUGCUCGAGUAAUUAACUCAAUACACUUAACCGUUAGGCAGUAUAUUCGAGGUCGAUCCACAAGGACCAAAGAUACUCUAAAGAUUUCCGAGACUCGUUCUUAGCUAAAGCGGAAAGGUUGUUUGUUUGGUUUUCAGAUUUUAAAAUAAAAAUGCAAAUUAAUUAAACGAUUUGACUUCAAGACUUAAAGACAUUGGGCUAUAGGGUAUUCAGAGAUCAAUAAAUAACGGAAACAUUAGACAAGGAAUUCAACAAUUAAGCACCGUUCUUGAACAUGAACACAUUUAGACUAAUUCUCUUUCAAGACAUUAAUCACUAAAUUUGACUAUUCGAUUACUAAACUUUCGCAUGUAAUUUCCUAGUCAAAUUCGCAUUAUAAAACAAGUUCAUUAAGUUCACAAUGCGUCCUAACGUCAACUUUCGUUGGCUAGAAAUACAUUGCUCAAUUCACAUUCUUUCAGGCAUUCUAUCGAACACUUUUGAUGCAUAGAAAAACCUAGACUCUACAACAGGGUGAUCAAUCCUAUUCUAGCAUUAAGAACAUGUGAAUCAAAGAACCUAGAGAAUAAGAACUCCUAAUAUCAAUCAAUCCAUUAAUCCAUUGAAUCUCCUAAUUAGAACCCUAAAACCCAAUUGAGAAACUACUCACUCAUGGCAAAGAAAACAACACAAAGAGAUGAAGAAAGCAUAAUUGAAUUGAUAAAUAAAGAAUAAGGGUUUAGAAAUCUUCUCCAAAGUGUCAAAGAGGAUGAAUCUCUAGAAUCCCAAAAAGCUUACAAAGAGAAGUCUCAAAAGUUGCAGAGAAAAGAACAUAGAGAGAAAAAUAGGUUUUUCUGGGUUUUUAUACCCAAGUACAGAAAAAGGCAAAUAAACCCGGUUAAGGAAAACCGGUCUGGUCGUCGAGGCUCGGAUCGAUCGAUCCCAUGUGUGGAUCGAUCGAUCCAGAUAUGCUGAAUCAAUUGGUCUUGGACGAAUGAGGGUUGGAUCGAUCGAUCCCCUCCUGGGAUCGAUCGAUCUCGAGCGACUGGAACUUUUGGCUUCAUCGUCACAAUUGGGAUCGAUCGAUCCACGCCUUGGAUCGAUCGAUCCCCAGCUCCUGGUGAUCUCUUGUACCGUUUCUCCAUUGUUUUAGCUCCGAAUAGGCUCAAUCAUGCACAAGAUGCUCCGAAUCCAGCUCGAGCACCUAUAGCCUGCAAAGGACUCAAGACACAACCGAAAAGACGCAAAAGACGGACUUUGACACGAUAGAUGACUCAAAACAUGGACUAAACCAAGACUCGAAACCGUUAAAAACGCAACACAUCAUCGAGGCUGACCGGAUCAGCCGAUCGGGUAUAUCAAAAAAAAAAAAAAAAAAAAUGAUUCAUGCAUGUCAGUCCUUUAACUUUUUAUUUGAUAAAAGAUUUUCAAUUGAAAUAGCAAAAGAAUAAAAAUAUUACUGAUAGCCUGUAGGCCCACUUCUAAUGAAAGCCUAUUAAAACAUAAUUUUGAACCAAUCAUAAUAAUAGUUUAAUGGGUACGAAGCCCAGAAAAGUGUUAGCCCAUAGCAGUUUUAUUUGCCUUGAUUAGGCAGAGCAACAUUCUUCAGCAUUCUUAAUCAUCCAAUUGGCUCUUGGGGUCUAAUGUUGGCACCAUUGUUGGAGUACGAGCACCAAUGAACAUUUUUUUGGGGGUUUCUUGACUCCCUAAAGGAAGAAACGCUAUUUUUCUCAUCGUUGAAUCAAUUUCGUCGAAUUGAUUCUGUAUUGAUGAAGUCAGUUGUUCCAUAGAGACUCUAAAUAGAAUACCCGUUAAGUCAUUAACACGAUUCAAAUGCGUUUGCAUAUAUAUAAUUAUUUUGCUAAAAAUGUAAAUAUUUCACAAAUAAUGAAAAAAUUUAGGAAGUACAAUAAAGUAAAACCUACAAAUUGGUCGCAUGGCAAAAAAAAAUGGAUACAAAAACAUGGAAGCAAAGAACAUUCAAUCUAUUGACAUCGAAAAUGCAGUGACGCUUUCGGAGUCAAUGAAGUGAUAAGCAAUUUUAAAGAUUCUCCUACAUGAAGCCAGGGAGAAGAUACAUUUUGUCAAACGACAAAGACCAGAUCAUAGAACUGAGCUUUCUCAGAGCGAAACCACACAAACCAAAAGAAAACGAAAACAUUAGCUCAUUCUACCAAGCCCUUUCCCCGAGGUUGGCUAGCACAUUGCAAAUGCAACAAUACGACCAAACGCUAAACAAUCCUAAGGUCUUACUAGAAAAUGGUUCAACGCCUCUCUAAAUCUUUCGCCAUAUAAUUGUAGAAUGCAUCUAUUGAUUUUCACAUCGAGAUCUUCUGCUUUUAGCUAUUUUCCCCCUCUCAUUAUAUAUAUUCUCAAAACGCUCCAUUGCAUGUGGUCUUGAACAUUACAUAAGUAGUUCAAGUUGAUACAUGUUGUCUUCCAACCUUUACAUUUCUUAUUCUCGGGGGCAUCACUUUAUGUAAAAAUGUGUUGCCAUUAACUUUCCUUAUAGCAUAUUCAUCGUUAAGGUAUGUCUCCGAUACCGGAGUCUUUUCUCCCUUUAGGAUCAAUGAAUAGCUAGGCGUCACAAACUUAGCCGGUCUCGGCUCCGUCUUCUUCUUUUCUUGUCCCAUUGUAUUUAUCACACUUCCACAAAUACCAGUUUUGAUCUGUGAAAAACAACACAUCAUAAUCAUUAAUCAUUAUCAUUGAUUCUACAUUCAACAUCAAGCAUCAUCAUCAUCAUCAAUCAUUGAAAUAAAACAUAUUUUGAUGAAGUGGAAUAACAAAAUCUAAACAUAGAACUCUACAUUAGUUUCAGUCAAUUCACAGAAUAUAAAAUAGUUAGCCCAAAAGUCUGUAAACAAGCAAAUUGAACAAAACUCCAUUUCAAUUUUGUAGAUUAACGAGAUUUGAACAUAGAACACUAGUUCGAUUAUGUAGAUUAACAAGAUUUGAACAUAGAACACUAGACUCCGAAGCAGGCAUUGAUGAAACUUAAAUAUUUUUUUUUAAUAUAUAAAAUGUUGUAUUAGAAGGUAUAGUAUAAGUUUUAUGGUUGAUGGAAGUUUAUGUCUAAGUACACUGCAAAUACGAGAUCUAGUUUUAGAAGGUAUUAGUCUAAGUGCAUAACUUGGGCCUUGGGGAUUCAUGUAAGAACAUGAAAUCUAUGUAUGAAAGUUAGGACCGUUAUAAUAUGGUUAUAUGGUUAGGACUUAGGAGUUAGGAUCAAUAUAAUACUUAUUCUAAUUUAGGCCCGUCCAUAGAUUGAACGGAUCAAACCUAAAACGAUAUCAUUUUACAUAAGAGUUUUAUUUUGCCAAAAACAAUUUUGUGUUGGACAUUUCUUCUUCUGUCAAGGAACGACGAUGAGCUUAUUGAAGAAGUCAAUCUUCAGUUCAUUAAUAGACCAUCUCCAUCGGUGGAGAUCGGGUCUUAUAACUUUUUAUUUAUAUUUUAAAUACUUUGUUUUUAUAUUUAAGUUUUAAAUUAUAAUAAAGUUUAAUCCAAUCUUAAAAGUUAAAAUGACAGCUAGAAGUUUUUGAGUGUAUAUUAGAAGACCAUCUAUCUUCUCUUAUUUUCUUUUGUAUUUAUUUAUAAUUUUUUUUAAGACAUCCUCCAUAGCACUGAACAAUGGAGGUGCUCUUAUUAUUUGUCACAGCCCUAGGUCCGGUUAGACCAAUUGUUAUUUGUCACAGCCCUAGGUCCUUUUCUCUCAAUCUAGAAGAUAACCAAGUUUGAGCUUUUUAGUUAUUGAAGUAGAGGAAGUCGUCGAAUCAAGGGUGAGAUUGAUUUGGUGUGACAGAUUCGUUUAUCGCUCGAUUGGUUUUUCUGUUUGAAUAAAAUAUGUGGAUGCAAAUGCAUGCAUUUUCCCAAUUUAGUACUAACAUCUAGAUAAUGCAUUGGAUGCAAAAUCAAUUGCAUCUCAAAUCAUCUUGAUAUUUUGGAUGGAAAAGUAGAAUUUAGAUGUAAAUUUUGCAUCCAGACAAUAGAAAAUACGGUAAUUUAUUCAGUGAAAUCAAAUAAGAUACAAGACAUGAUACAUCCACAAUACAACAAAGAUAAAUAUAAGCAAAUUUAAAUAAACAUCAACAAAUAUAUAAUUAAUAAUUAUAAAAAGUGAUGAAUGAGCAAAUUUUUAUGAUUCUUUCUAUACCAAAAUUUAUUCGCUAAAAAAUAAUUAAAUGUUUCUUUUUUGUUUUCUCCAAAGUCAAUCUAGUUUAAUGAAAUAGUCAGAAAAUGCCAACAUAUCUUUAAAUUAUCAAAUUUAUGAUUUAAUGCAAAAAUUAGGAAAUCAUAUUUUUCUAUUAAAACUAUAAAUAUUAAAAAACUAAAAAAAUAUAUAUAUAUUUGAAUAUUUAUGUUGGUCAACGCCGGUCAAACUGGUCAAUGCCGGAUUCCGGUGAAAAGUGUACUGGAAAAAAAAUGUUUGUGAUGUUGGCGACAUGACUACAUAUAGUGCGUAUAUGUGGGCAUGCGAUACAUAUAAUUUGUGUAGUUAGGGAUAAAUUUUUAAACUUCGGAUGUGUGACCAUGUAUUGUAGCAUACUUUAUGUAGCUAGGUAUCUUUUUUCCUUUUAAAUAUUAUUGUGUUAAAAACAUGUAAUAUGAGAAUUUAAAUAUAGUAACAUUUAUAACGAAACCUUCAAAAUAGGAGAAUUAGAAAAUAAACAAAACAAAAUUAGAAAGUUGUCAAAAGAAUGUUGUUCUGCAUCAACAUCAAAUAGUCAUUAAGUCCUAAGAAAAGGAUAUAGCUCAUAACUAAGAUUACAGGCUGUACCCAAAACUCUCGCUCCUUGUUUACCGUCGCAACACUUAGAAAGAUGGCUGAUACUCCAUUCCAAACAAGACGUACACUGCACCAUUGCAUACAGUUUAUUCGUCCCGAUUCUCUUCUCUCCUGCCGCAUAAUAUAACAACUCGAUGUCAUCCUUGUCGGCUUUAUCAGCUUUCGCAAUCAGCUGUUGGAAAAAAUCAUUUGUCUUCUUGUUAAACAACUUUGUAUCCCCUCUCACAUUGUUUGGGUUGUGCAUAGGGAAAGUAUUCUUGUAAUUGACUUUCCUUGGGGCUCCUUCAUUGAUCAUACUAAUAUCGAGAAAACAUUGAUCGUACCAUAUUAUCCCUCCUUUGUUUCUUGGACAUCUCUUACGAAACUGUCAAAUACAUAUACAUACAUGUCCUGGUUUACUUCAAAUGAUGAUUUAAUUUUUUUAAUUUUUCAAUGCAAAUAUAUGGUUUUUAUUUACUAAUUAUUUUACAACAAUUGAUUGAAAAAUGUUUUACAAUUUUUCUUAUGUACAAAACGAACAUAUAGUAUCUCUAUGUCUUUAUUAAUACUUUAAUAUUUUCGUUGUAAAAUUAUCUUUUUUUUUGUAAAUAUUUAUUUGUAAUUUUUAUAUUUAUAUUAACUAAUGUGGCGAAUGGCUCAUGUAUAUAAAAAAAUAUACAAAUAUAUUAUUACAAAUAUAUUGUAUUUAGCAUUUAUUAGUGAAAAGAAAUUUAGCAAAUAAAGUUUUUUAAUUGAAAUUAUGGUUAAAAACUUAAAAUUUUCAUAUGGUUCUCCUUCAAACAAUUAGAAAAAUAUAAACCGAUAAACCAUAACUUUUUUCUAGAAUUCCAACAUCUUUUGAUUUUGGUUUUGAUGACAUGGUUUUAGUUCGUGAAACAACUUACAUAUAAUGUUGUUUUCACAUGACAUUAUGUAUCAUUGCUAAAACAAACCAUAAAACUAAUUUGAAAAGCGUUUCACGUAUAUGUUCUUAAAUAUUGUAUUUCAUAAUAGGAUUUAAAUUUCAAAAAAGCGCCAUAAUUGAAAAAUAAUAAAUAUAGAUAGUUGGUUAAAAUAGUAAAUAAUUUCAAUAAAACAGAAAUCUUAACUGUGUCUGAAGAUUUAAUACAGAAUAACAAAAUGGUAGCAACGCUAAAACCGAUAAACCAUAACUUUUUUCUAGAAUUCCAACACCUUUUGAUUUUGGUUUUGAUUGCAUGAUUUUUUGUUCGUGAAACAACUUACAUAUAAUGUUGUUUUCACAUGACAUUAUGUAUCAUUGCUAAAACAAACCAUAGAACUAAAUGGUUUUCCUAUCUUAAACUACAUAUGUUCAUCAUUUGGUUGAGUACCCAAUUUUUGGUCCUUUUGAUGGGGAAACUAAAAUACUUUUAAAGACUAAUAUAAAUUUUGUUAUUUAGUUUUCCUAUGUUAAACUACAUAUGUUCAUCAUUUGGUUGAGUACCCAAUUUUGGUCCUUUUGACGGGGAAAUUAAAAUACUUUUAAAGACUAAUAUAAAUUUUAGCAACUUAAUUAAUUAGGCAUGCUAAACAAUAUUUGCCAACUUCAUCAUGAAAAAAAAAAGUAGAAACUGAAGGUAAAGAAGAUAUACAUUAUUUGUAUCUCAUCUAAAAGUGAGAAGGUAUAAGGUUUAAUUAGUAUAAUACUUAAUUUUGUCAUGGGACUUAUGAGUUACAUUUCAAAUAAUAAAUAUACCAUAAAUUGUAUGGCAAUUAAUUUUGUCAAACACAGUGGGAGUUACAUUUUUCAGAAUUAAUAUGCAAUAAAUUGUGAUUAGGAUUAUUAUCAUAUUUUUAAUACUUUAAAUUAUUUUAAAAUAAAAUGAAUUGAAUAAAUAUUGUUUGAGUAAAUUUCACUUAUUACAAAUAUUGAUAACCAAAAUGUUAUUAGGAGAUAUAUUGUCAAAAAAAUAAAUUUUUACUUCAAUUACAAAGAAAACCAUCAUAUUAAAUCAUAUAAAUAUUACUUCUUAAAUUAUAUGUAAAUUAAAUGAAGUUAAAUUAAAAUAUAGAAGAUAUUGUAAUAUUUAUUACAAAUAUUGAUAACCAAAAUAUUAUUAUGAGAUAUAUUGUCAAAAAACAUAAAUUUUUACUUCAAUUACAAAGAAAACCAUUAUAUUAAAUCAUAUUAAUAUUACUUCUUUUAAGAUUUUGAAAAAGAAAAUAAAUUUUUUUGUGAAGAAAAGAAAAGUAAUUUUCGUUUUGUUUUAGUUUAACAUAAUAUAUUCUUAGGAGAAAUAAUUAUUAUGCAUUUAUUUUUGGAGGAAUUAAUGUUUAGAUAAAAGUAAUUUUCGUUUCUCAUAAUAUGUCAUUAGGAGAAAAGUGACACAUGUCAACUUCUUAGAGACUCUCACCAAGAGAAACCUUAAAAUAUUAGUAUAUAAGAAGUUCGUUCCCCCAAGGCCCCAAGCAAUCUUAACGUUUCAAUAUAAGAUAAGAUAAUACUUUUGUUUUUUCACCGAACGAGAGUAUCUAUUUAAUUCUUCUUAACAAUUAUGAUAAUUUUUAUCAGUUGAUGCAUUGUUACCCGGCUCAAAUUUCUGUCAGCUACUUGUUAACUCUAAUCUGAGUUUUUGUUUCCAAUGAUCAUUUCUAUUUUGGCGAUAAUGUGAUGUUAUACACCGCACCACAAGUUAUAGAUCAUAUAUGCAAAAAUGUUAAAGUAGCAUUACCCCGGCGAGUGCGGUGGCAUAGCAGGAGUUGCACUUGGACCUGUAAGAGUCACCCCGACAUUGGAAUAUGACGGUAGCGGAAUUGGUACCGUCUUUAAUUGCGCUGUGUACGAACCCGUUUACAAAUUUUUCGGUAGCGACAUUACCGGUGAUAGAGUUGAGGUCUUUCUCGUACUCACUUCCUGGCUGGUAUUUUCCUUGUUCAACCCGACAUUUGUGGUUCAGAUACUCAUUAGUAAUAUUCAGGGAUGAAACGCUGCGUAUGAGGAGUUGUAUAGCCAAGAUAUGGAAAGAAACGAGAGACAUUUGGAUAGAGAGAAUGAAGAGUACAUUGUUUUCUUGAUUAUUAAGGGUUUGGAUUAAGAUGUUUAUAGAAGAUCACUCAGAAGGAUUUUAGCUAUUUGUCACAUUAGUAACUGGAUUAACUGUUUAUCUCAAAAAGAUAUUCUCUCUUUCGGUUUCUUUAUAAAAAGUUACUAGGUAAUAACCUGCACAUAGUGCAGGAUAAAUCUAUAUAGAUAAAAUUAGUGUUAUGAGUAAAGUUAUUUUUGAGGAUCUAAAAUUUGUUUGUGUAAAAACGAAAUAUAUAAUCCGUGAGAAUAUGUUUAGAUCAAACUAUUAUGUACCAACUAAAUAUAUAAUCCGCUAUUUCUUCAAUCUAAGCAAAUUUUUUUUUUUUUUAUUAUUUUUUUUUUGUGUAAGAAUAUGUUUCACCUGUGAAAUAUUAUAUCAAUGAUAUUAAAUAGGGAGACUCACAAAAAUGCCCCUUUUUCAAUACCCCUUUUCAAAAAUGCCCCUUUUGGAUGUCCAUUUUUAAAAAUACCCCUUUUAUGUACAAAAUGACUAAAUUACCCUUCUUUUAAUAAAAGAUAUCAUAAAUAUAUAAGGAAAUAUAACAAAAUUAGGUCCACAAAAUACAAAAUCUUUUUUGGCGGGAAAAGUGAUCCCCCAAUUUUUCCCGCCAAAACACUUGUAAAAAUUUGUAAAACCUUUAAAAUACCUUGUAAAAUUUUUUCCCGCCAAAAAUUUUUUUUUGCGGAAAAAGUGAUUCCGCAAAUUUUUUGGCGUUAAAUUUUUGGCGGGAAAAUUUUACAAGGUAUUUUAAAGGGUUUUUACAGGGUAUUUAUAAAGUUUUACAAUGUAUUUUAAAAGGUUUUACAACGUAUUUAUAAAGUAUUUAUAAGAUAUUAUAAGAUUUUACAAGCUAUUUUAUAAGGUUUUACAAGUUAUAAGGUUUUACAAGUUUUUUAUAAGAUUUUACAAGUUAUAAAUACCUUAUAAAACCUUAUAAGUACCUUGUAAAACCUUUUAAAAUACAUUGUAAAACCUUACAAAACAUUUGUAAAUACUCCGUAAAACCUUUAAAAUACCUUGUAAAUUUUUCCCGCCAAAAAAAUUUCGGCAAAAAAAUUGCGGAAUCACUUUUCCCGCAAAAAAAAAUUUUUGGCGGGAAAAUUUUUUGGCGGGAAAAAUUUUUACGGGAAAAUUUUACAAGGUAUUUUAAAGGUUUUUACAAGUGUUUUGGCGGGAAAAUUGCGGGAUCACUUUUCCCGCCAAAAAAUAUUUUGUAUUUUGUGGACCUAAUUUUGUUUCAAAUAAGGGUAAAAUGGUCAUUAAAAAUUAAAAGAGGGCAAACUUAAAAAUGGACUCUCAAAAGGGGCAUUUUUGAAAAGGGGUAUUGAAAAAGGGGCAUUUUUAACAAUUUCUCUAUUAAAUAAGUCAAUUUCCUAUAGUAAUGAUUAUUAUGAUGGUUUUUUUGGAAAAUUUAAAUAUGUGAAUAGUAAUCAAUUUUUUUUAAUAGGUGAAUAAAUUCAGAUUUUGAAAAUGUUUUAGAUCUAAUAAUGUUAUAAUCAUUAAAUCUGUUAUAAAAAUGAUUAAAAUAUAUUUUAAAAUUGAAAUGUUGGAUUUUUUUAAUUAAUUGAAAAGAAAUAUUCUUUAAUCAUUCAAUAGCAAUUAUGUACAAAUAUCUAUAAAAAUGAGGGCAAUAAAUNNNNNNNNNNNNNNNNNNNNNNNNNNNNNNNNNNNNNNNNNNNNNNNNNNNNNNNNNNNNNNNNNNNNNNNNNNNNNNNNNNNNNNNNNNNNNNNNNNNNAAAAAAAGGCCGGGGCACGGUUGCCCCCAGACGGCAGGUGCAGCUGCCAGGCCCUCGCCAAAGCGCUGAUCUCAAAGCCAAUAAAUUCGAAUCCUCUAACGACGACACAUCAGCAUUUUCUUGAGAAUGCUUCUCUAAUAAUAUAUAGGGGAUGUUUGAUCAUUUCAGUUUGUAGAAGAAAUGUUUUUUUUUUUUUGGUCUGUAACAGAUAGGAGAGAGGGGUCGGGUAUUUUUCGGCGAAGGGUGAGGAUGGCCAAUGGAAAAGUCAAAGUUUAAAUGUUGUACUAAGUUAAAAUUCUUAGAAAAUAGAAUCACCACAAGUUUUGAUAAAGUUUAAAUGCUCUAUUAUUUAUGGUCUAAAGUAGUUUUAAGGGAAAAGUGCAUGUAAUGUAAACAAAGUUUUUUUGAUUGAUUUAUAUUCAUAAUAAAAAAAAGAACUAGAUAGUAACCCGCAGUGUACCGCGGGAUAAUUUUGGCGUUUACGGUUUAUAAGUUUAGACGUCUUUUUUUAUUUGAUAUUAGGUAAAUUAGUGUAUAGUUUAGUAUAUGAUUUCCCAUUAGCAUGUUAUGUUAGUAUAUUGUAUUUGUCUUAGAGAUUAUAAAUAAUUUGUUUUGGGUUCUACAGAUUUAUAUAAAAAUAUAUGAUAAUGUUAUACUUUUUGUUGUGAUUUGUUAUAUAAUUCCAUGAGAGAAUAUAAUUAUUGUUUUUAUUUUCAAAAAGUUAUUAUAAAACUGUAUAUCAUUUUCAUAAGAUUAGUAAUUUAUAUAAAUAAAUUAUGUAAAUCAUUCAAUUUUUGUUGUAGGCCAAAAAAGGUUGAGCUGCUAAUAACAAUUUGGAACAGCAAAUAUUGACGAAGCCCAUUUGAUUUAUGAGUUAUUUACCUUCAAACACACUUUUUCAAAAGUGUUUUCAAUAUGAGACACUUUGUGAUAUCAACCCACUUUCUUUUGGAGUCUUUUACUCUUUUACCCUCUAAUCAUAUUCUUUACUCUAAUAUUCUUCAUCCUCUCUUCUCACAUUCAUUUCUUUUGUUUCUCUCUCCCCGUAUCCUCUCAUUCUUUAUCCCUCUCUUCCCUUUUCUCUUUCUUUCCAAAUUCUAAUCCAUCAAUUUAAUUUCAGAUUCGCUUUUCUUUUUUUAACUGUGUUUUUUACAUCCAAGAAUGGAAAAAAAGAAAAUUCUCCACUUCCUCUAAAUUUGGUCUUUCUGAUUGUGGAACUUGUGGUCGUGUGUGUGUUUAUCUACUAGUCUUUCAUCGAUUUGAUCUUUGAAAUCAGACGUGGAUAGAGGCCCUAAUCCCAUAUGUCUCCCUUCUCAUGAGCAAUCCAUCUCCAGAUUCAUAUAACUAUAUUUCUCUAUCUCUUAAUUUUCGAUAUAAUUCUUUUGGAACCUUAAUUCAUUGUUUUCUUUUCUAAACUAGAGUUUGGUAGAAUGAGUAAUGUGAAAUUUUGUGGUUUUUGGGUGUUUUGCUGUUGUAGUUUCAAUUCAAAUUCAAUCUUUUUGGGUCCAAAUGUGUCUAACUAAAUGAAUCAGUCCAUUUGUGAACGAAACAAUCAAGUAAUGCUCGUUGAUUUGAUGAAGAGUCAAAAAGUGAAUUUGGUGAGAUUAGAUCAGUUAUUUAGAACUUUCUUGUGUCCAUUUAGCAGCGAACACAUGUACGAAGCAAAGUCGUCCAUCUCAACUGGAACAUCUACGUGAAUUGUUGAGAGUCACGACUUUUAAAAGUUGAAGUUUCAUGGUCGGAUUGAUUGGCUUGCAGGUUUUGAAUCAAGAUUGUUGACGAAGAUUUUGUGUCCAUUUAGUAGCGAACAAGGAGUUAAAGUAAGUCGAUUUGCAAUGGAUGCGAUACCGUGGUUGAGAUGCGGUGGCUACGAUGCGGUGACUAUGACGCGGUGGUUACGAUGCAACUUCAAACACAAUAGUUGCAAACAGAGACUUUGUGUUGACGAUUAUCUUUCAUAUAUAAAGUUGUGAAUUGAUAUAAAAAUCAUGUGUAUGAUUAUAAAAGGAUGAAAAAAAUUAUGUGUGAUAAUAUAGGAUUUAGGGUUUAGGUUUUAGUAUGCUGAAGUUUCACUUACCCUUAGAGAAAAUCAAUCAAAUAGUAAAAUGGUCAAAUGGUCGUGGACAUUGUAUAUAAAAACUUGAGAUAUAUUAAUGUUAACCAUGUGUUCAAUGUUGAAUGGUUAGAUAAACAAAAAAAUAUGUCUAAUAAUAAAAUAUGAACAAUAGACAUUUGAUCAGAGUUUAACGGAUGUAUAGUUUAUCGAGAAACUUUAGUCUUAUUCAUCUAUGUGAUCAGAGUUUAGCUGAUAUGUUUGGAUGAUCGGUAGUUAUAAAUGUUGGUGUAAUAUGUUUGUUCAAAUAUCUAUAGAUAUUGUCUGUUUGGAUGAGUUUGUAUGUGUGUCUGUUUACAAAAACAGAAUUCAUAUGUUCAAAUGUUCGAAGGCGUUUUAUAUUAUGCUUGAGAUAAAUUAAUGUUAACCAUGUGUUCAGUGUUGG